rnacentral:lncRNA from 1 species
UUAUGUGUGGUUUUUGCUUCAUAUACUUAAGGUCUUCAGUGCAAGCAUGAAACUUGGAACUUUGGAACUUGGAUUUCCUGUUAGUAUUUGGGUUCGAGUCUACCGACUUGGAAAGGAGGAUGGGAGAAGAGACUGGAUUUCUGAUCUUUUCAGUGACAGAUAGUUUUGAACUUCUUAAUUUUGUGGUGUGUUUUCCUUGUAGUGAUGGAAAAAUAAGGGUUGAUGUUCAAUGUUCAUAGAAGCUGUUGGGUUGUAUGAAAGGAAUACUGAGUAUGAUACUUGGAAUCAAAUGAAAUAGUCUUGGAGUUCAUUCCCUUAUGCUGGUUGUGAGUAUUGCUUGUGAUUUUAUGUCUAGUUUUUUUGGUCCCAACUUGGCUUGUGCUUUGAAAUUUAUCUGAAACCAACACGUUUGGGGUUCAAUCAACAUCAACAGAAGAAGAAUUGAAAUUUAUCUCGACCCGAUGGGCCGCCUCGAGGUGUGUUUAACGGCCUUGGAGGGUCUGAUUCAAGAGGAGCUCUUUCUGUGGUUACACUGAUAGCAGUAUUCUCAGUUUUUCCUGAUAGCAGGAUUCUCAGUCAGUCAUCUUCUGUAAAAAAAAAAUUCUUUAAAUGAAAUGUCACUAUUACCCUGACGAUUCAAUUUAUUUACGGAUGUCCGAUUUGGUUUGUGAAGUGACUUUGUGUCUGGGUUUCACAAGAGGAACAAGAAGAAGAGAAGAAAGGAGGCUGAGAAGAAGCAAGGGGAGGCUUAUUGUUGGCAUACACUGAGUUUUCACAUACCUUUAUCACCAGUAAUUUAGAUUGCUUUCCAGUUAAACCAUCCAAAACAGUUUCUCAUUUCUUUUUUAGUAAUAUAUUCAUCUAAUUGAGUGCUGCAUAAUACUGUCGCCAGGAUCGUUAUAUGCCACUAACACUAUAAGCAACUUAAAUCUGAUAUCUGUUACUUUGAUUGAUUCAAAAUGAAUGUGUGUCUUGUGUGUAUGAAGUAUGAACCUUCAUUAUUUCUAUGUGCUCUGUCUAGCGCUCUAGCAAAUGAUGCUGCUUCCAUCCCAAAAACCUUGUCCUGGAAGAUGUUCACAUUCAUCUGCAGCUCCUGGAUACUUAAUACGCAGUUUAACAUAUGUGCUAAUCAAGGGCUUUGAGUACUUGCAUCAGUAAUAGCCGGUACUGAUGAUCCUUGUAUGAGGAACCUGUCAUCGAGCUUCUGCCUUCUCCUCAACAUGCAGGUUUGAGCAAUAUUUCAUCCUUGUUUUAAUAACAACUCUUUAUUGUUCAAUUGUACUUCGAUAUGGCGGAAGUCAAAGUAAUCAAGUUUUAUAUGUCUCAAACUGUUAACCAAGUUAUAACAUCUGAAUUAAACAGUCUGCCAUUUCCUUAUCAAUAUAUAAAUUCAAGAUUGCUACAUAAAAGUGUCUUUCAAGUUUCAAGGGUUGGCAUAUGCCAAAUUGCCAACCAAACACAAAUACCAAGUACUAAAGGCUCGACUAUUAACUUCAAAAGAAAAUGAAUAUAGAGUACUACUGUAUGGUACUUCAUUACUUCCAUUAGCUCUAGCAGUCUAGCUAUAUGCCAUUAAUGAUGUCCAGCAUCAGUUCCCUGGUUUGCUGCACUGGAAGCGUAUCGCAAUGGAAUCCCUGAAAGUAAUAAGAUCGAUGUUAACUUCACAUUAUCCAUCAAGUACAGUCGAUGUGUUCUAUUAAGCUAUAUUCAUCUAUGUCUAUUAUGAACUGUGCAAUUGUGCAAAGCAACCUUUCAGCCUGCAUUUAGAUGAAUAAUAAUCACAACUGAAGAGUACUUAGUUUGGGAGGUUUUUCCAGUACUUACAGUGACCCAGGAAGAAACAAGCAUUGCUCCAUUUGAGGUAGUGACACUGGUAUCAUUGAGUUCAAACCCAAACUCAGUCAUGGCCUCUAUCAGUUUGGUAAAUCCACCUCUUUUCUUCGCGAAAACCGCCUUUAUCCAAAGUUUGUCCCCAUCAAUCUGAGUCACACUAACGUCUGCCUGCAAAUCAAAUCACCAAUAACAUUAACUAGGUGGAAGAGUUUCCAUGUUCCAAUGAGAUGAUAUAUGCAGAACACUGUUACAGUUUUACCUGAAUCCCAGAUUUCUUCAUCUCUUCUGCUGCAUCAGUUUCUUUUUUCCUCGGCUUUGGCUCCGGCACCUCUAGUGAAGACAAUGCUUCCAUCUCAAAGAGCUGUUCCUGAAGCAUGUUCACCUCCUUCUGCAGCUCAUAGAUAUAAGUAAUCGCGUCAUCAACGAUCGUCGCUUUAUUCAUCUGAAACAAGCAAGAAAUGAAACGUUAGAAUCUUUUUUUUCUUUUUCAAGUGCUAGUAUUGAAGUUUUGAGUACUUGCAUUUGUGAUAAUGGGGACUAAUGAGCGUAGCUUGAGGAGUCUGUCACUGAGCUUCGCCCUUCUCUUCCUUUCGGCAUUCAGAUUCUUGGAUUUGUAAAUGGGAGGUCCAUCUACUACAUCGUUGUAUCUCCUUCGACCCAUCCUUCCUCCUCGGCUGUUGUCUUCUAGUUGAUCAGGACUUAGGUAUAGUUCAUCCAAGGGAGAGCCUACAAAUUCCAUAUCUUUCAGAUAAUGGUCAACAAGUAUUUUCAAAAGUGGGAUUUGGGGCCCUAAUUCAUAUAUGUCGUGCUCACAAGGCUAUCAUGCCAUUUUGUGUGUGAAGAGGGAUGCUGCGAUUGUGAAAACUCGCAGGCACUUCAAUUCAUAUUUUAUAGACUAACUAACUAGAAAGAGAAAGAGAAAAACUGAUACAAUUCAUUUUCGUUGUGUGUGGUUUGAUUAAGCGAAAUUACAAAAAAUAAGCAGUUUUUAGAGUGAAAGAUUCUCAAUUAGGAAAGUAUCAGGCAUUGUGCAGGUUUUACAUGUCAUGGUCUUUGGUCUUUGUUGACUGAAAAAAAUAUGUCAUGGUCUUCCUGUUAUUUGAUUCCAAGUUUGAACAUCUGACAGAAACAUGUACAUAUCCCUCUAGUGUUCAUAUAGUUCAUAACUUCAUAUAGAUCAUAAAAAUACUGCCCUACAUAUUUGGAUGUUAUGCAUCUGGGUUUGUGAGUGUGUGUGUGUGGAUUUAUAAUAUCAAACAAAAUUGAUUUACAUGAUAAGCGAAGGUCAGAAUCGGAUGGUUCGCAAUUGAUUUACAUGUUAUACACAUCUGCAUCACAUCUAAAUCCCAUAUAUUAUGGUGUUUUUCAUGUAUUAAUUAUGAUAAUUCUCUUACAUUAAAACAACCGAGCAAACGAUACUAGUGUCCCAAGUGCUUCUCUGUAUCAUAUUUUAGUCUCGCAUCGUACUUCAUUAUCGACUUAUUUUUAUUUUUUGAAGAAAAAAAAUAGUUAGUUACAUUCAUUGAUCAAAGAUCAGGACGAACAAAAGGUUAAACAUAUUUCAUUAUCGAUUUGGCUUAUCGUAUAUAUGAAUUACUAAAGAUCUUAAAGCCCAAACACAAUAGUGUCUUUCGGCCCAAACCCAGUCCAAAAUAUUUACCGCAAAACUUCUACUCCCAGGUCGCCCUGCUCAGUGUCUCGCUCGCACACUCGCACAAUCUCACCUUAAACCCAAAACCCCACAGCGCCCACUCCUCCCAAAACGAUGUCGUUUUGCCGCCUCAUCCGCCGCGCAUUUUCCACCGCCACCCAGCCCAAACCCAAGAGCAUCAGAGCCAUCUCCGAAGACCUCUACAGAGAACGCAACCUCAAACGCCUCGUCCACAAGUUCAAAGAGUCCUCAGAGAUCUACCGCUUCCGAACCAAAAGCCCCAUUUACGAAGAAACUGUCCGCCGCCUCGCCACCGCCAAGCGCUUCAAUGCCAUCGAAGAAAUGCUGGAGCACCAGAAGAAGUACCCGGAUUUCGCCGACGAGGGUUUCGCCGUUAGAAUCCUUUCCCUUUAUGGAAAGGCCGGGAUGUUCGAUAAUGCCCAGAAGGUGUUCGACGAAAUGCCUGACAGAAACUGCGUGCGCACCGUGCUGUCCUUCAACGCGCUUAUGGGCGCGUGCGUGAACUCCAAGAGGUUUGAUAUGGCUGAGAAGAUAUUUAAGGAGGUGCCGGAGAAGUUGUCUGUUGAGCCGGAUUUGGUGUCUUACAAUAUUUUGAUCAAGGCGUUUUGUAAGAUGGGUUCAUUUGAUUCCGCGGUUUUGGUGCUUGAAAAGAUGGAGAAGAAGGGUAUGAAGCCGGAUGUGAUCACGUUUAACACGAUUUUGGAUUGCUUGUAUGGGAAUCAGCGGUUUUCAGAUGCUAAGAAGAUAUGGGGUGUAAUGGUGGAGAAGAAUGUUGUUCCGGAUAUUAGGAGCUAUAAUGCCAAGUUGAUGGGAUUGGCUUUGGAGAAGAGGAGUAAAGAAGGGGCUGAAUUGGUUAAGGAGUUGAGGAGUAGUGGAGUGGAACCUGAUGUGUUUAGCUUCAAUGCCUUGAUUAAGGGAUUUGUGGGUGAGGGGAACUUGGAGGAAGCUAAGCGGUGGUAUGGUGAACUAGUGAAGAGUGGUUGUGCUCCGGAUAAAUGGACUUUCGAGAUGCUUGUUCCCUUUUCUUGUGAGAAGGGGGAUGUGGAGUAUGGUUUUGAGCUCUGCAAGGAUAUUUUCCAAAGGCGCCGUCUUGCUAGUGCGGCAAUGUUGCAGCCUGUGGUGGAUGGUCUGGUUAAGGCCUCUAUGAUUGAGCAGGCAAAGGAACUUGUCAAACUUGGGAACACUAAUUCCUACAAACGUUUUAACUUGAAGUUGCCUUCAGACGAGUAGGGCCUUUCUUUUCUUUUUGCUGCUCUCUUUUGUAUGUUGAAUUCUAAUUUGGUUUUGAAGCACAAACAUGUAGGGUAAGCGUGGAACUCUUUUGAAGUGAGAGUGUGAUCAAUUUUCAGUUUUCAUUUUUGUUAUUUCAGAUAAGAAUUCUUAGUAACAUACCAAUUUCUAUAAUGGCUAGACAAUGUUUAUUUUUAUUCAGUUUACUAUUUCUCAAAUAUAAAUUUGUAAUGCAGCUUAGGCUUCUUGUUUCUCUUGACCACCUUUGAAGUUCAACUCCACUUCCAGUAGUCUUAUUAGUAAUUACAUUGAUACAGUCUCAUACAACAUCAGUUUCACAUACUCUUUAAGAGAUGGAAGGCAUUGGUUGCCAUCGUAGCUAUACAUCAGGGGGAUCAUUCUUGCGAGAUUAAGAGAAGCCAAUGUGAAUGUUGCUGGAAAUGGAUUUGGAGAGAGCAGGUCUCUGUUCAGUUUCUUCCAUUCAUCUGAAAUCAUAUUAAUCGUCUUUUCUCGUGCCUCCUCAAUGGAACAGCCUUCAUGUUCCUCUAAGUAGCACCUUACAUACGACCCAUCGUUCCCAUCCUGGUUCUCAUCCUUUGCACUGCCUAAAUCAUCCCAGAGUCGAAGAAUUGCUGCUGAGGACGAUAUAAUGGCUGGAGUUUCAUUCAACAACUCCACGCUCUUUCUGGUUAUGUUCUGACCCAAGAGAAAAAACAUGUGGACUAGAACCACAUUUACCCCAGAAGAAACGAUGCCAUUCUUCAAGUACUCUUCUGACUUCGGCAGCUUCCCAGAUGCGAACCAUUUUGCUUCCACCAAAAAUGCGUUGCAAAGACUCGCCCACUGCAACAGAAGUUACAGAAUGAAUGGUCUCAAUGUAAACCUUGUAGUGCAAGCUCACGAUUUUAACGAUAAUCAUGUUAAAUGUGGUAGAUUAGUCACAGUUUGUAUAUAUAGUUAUGUACCGAAAUUUUCAAAGAUUGUAAGGGGUUCCAUCCAUGCUUCUGAUAGACCUUGCAGCUGAAUUCAUUAGUCAUAUCAUACAGAGCCUUGAAGCAUAUCUUCAUAUAGUCUGGUAGGUGGUCUAUAGCAGUAAUUUCCCAUCUGUAUGUAUGCAAUAGUUUGUUGAUCAAUCAUAAAUUAGUAACAAGUCUGAUUAUAUUCCAUCACUGACGCAUAUAAUUCAUAUAUACCUAUUUACAGCUUCUGUGAAGAGAUAGAGGUCAUCAAGGGUUCCAUAAACAUCGAAAAUGUCAUCUAUCAAAUAGACAAAAGAGAUGGGUUUUGUGAGCUCAACCCUCUCCUCUGAUAACUUUGGAUCUGUUAGGACUGCCAUGGACCAUAUGUACCAUUUCAGUGGUUGAUCUCUAGCAAAUUUCAGUUCCUUAGCCAAUCCAAGGUCCUUCCACCAUCUAAAAUGUCAAAAAUACACACAUAAUUACACUUUGUAUCUCCUGUGUGAAUUUAGGUAUCAAUGUCCUGAUGAGUCAUUGUCAAACUUACUUGGAAAUUUGAACUAUUUCAUUCUGGUGCCGAGACCGAACCAUAUUGAAAUCUAUUUUUGCUACUUCUUUUAGCAAAGUUAACCAUGAAUUGGGCCUGGUGGCUUGAGAAGUAACGAAAAAGUUCCUGGCCAUGAAUGAGGCCAAGCUUCUGUGAUGAGGAUUCCUCAAUGUAUUUCCAACAAUUCUGGCUUGAUGAUGAUCAAGAUGUGACAGAGAAGUCUUUAGCAGAUGGCCACUAAACUUUUCAGCUUCAACAAGUGUAUCUUCUCCUUCUGUACCUAGCUGCGAAGCUUCGUAUAAGCUCAUCAAUCCCUUGAUGUCUUCACCCAGAACUUGCUUGAACGUUCCUUUGCUUUCCUUGAAGUUGUUAAACACAUCUGUAACAAACACGUAGAAAUAUGUAUUACUACACAAGUUUUACAACUGUUUAUGAAUGAAAUAGUUUCAUAUCGCUUAGUGAACGAAAAAUAGUAUGUAUGAUUAAACUUACCUUCAGGCACGGAGUAACCAUGUUGUCUCAGUAGUCGAAAGCGAAGUGCAACCUCAUGAAGAUCAUCAGAGGCAGAUACAAUACUCAUCUGCUUGUGCAGAAUUGCGUCGAUUUCUCGUUGAAAGUGGUAAUCGAUGCCUAGCCUUUGAACAGCAUCGAUCAUAUUCAAACCUUCAAGGGCAUCUACCUCUGCUGCAUUCCUCAAGACAUUCCUGAGUAGUUCCAGCUUCCGAGAAUGUUGGACAAAAAUGUCAUCCUGCAAGUAAGGCACAGUCAAUUAACUAUUGUUUAGUAGCUAGCUAGCCUCAUUGAAGAAAUGUACGUAGGAGAAAGCCCCAAGAAUUUUACCAUAGUUCUAGUAUGCUUGGUUUCAACGUUCAUCAGCUUUAUAGUACUAGAACUGGAAAGCAAGCUAUCUUCGGCAACGCCCCAUCUUUGAAAAGUAGCAGGCAGCUGCUUCUUAGAGUGGCCAACAUGUGAGAUAAUUUUUGGAGCAAUUUGAUUGAAUACUUUAAAGGACCGAGAAGACUAUGCCAUCUGAUCUAUGAUCAGCACCAAAGAAGCUGUGGGAGAUGAUAUUUCUUUCGCUCUUCUUGAUCUUUGUUUGCGAAUUAAGAACUUAAGUUGUAUGUUCUGGAAAAAUGUUGGCAUUAUAUAUAGGAGAAUGACCGGUUGAGCGCGUCCAUACUCGUCUCUACCAGAUCAUUUGAAUGAACGUUUUUCUUUUCUAUGGUACUGUAUUGUCAUGCAUGCCCGGAAUAAUUAAAUUUUACUAUCACUCAUUCAUUAUGCAAUAAUCAAAUCAAAUGAUCUAAUUAUGAAAUUGUAUUCAAGAAAUUAACUGUUGCUUAACACUUUUCCAUAAUUGAAGUUCCUUAAAACUUGUCCAUGAGUGAUUCAGAAAAUCAACGAUUUUGAUAUAUAGUGAAGUUUAAGAUGACACUUUUGUUAAGAUGACACAAAUGAAGAGGUAUAAUCAGUUAGACCAUAGGUAAUGCAAUGUGCUAGAUGGAACUUUCAAAGUGAGUUUUGAUUUUCAUGAUUGUAGUACAAUGUGUUUACAGAGUACUCCACAUGCAAUUCUCAGUUUCAGUGACCCCAAUAAUCUCAUCAUGCAAGAUAUUGUUUCAACGACUUGACCUAAGAGAAAAGGCUUUUGUUUGAAAUUAAACUUGAGAAAAUAAAAGAAAAAGAACAUGAGAAUCACAUGUUUGUUUGCUGUCAAUUUCAAAGGUACUACGUUUGGAUGGAAUCACGAAUUUGAUUCUUUCAUUCUUGGAUUGCAUACUCGGUCAUCCACUGAUCCAAAUUGGAAUGAAAUGCAGUCCAUUCAUUCAGAUUUGAAAUCUGAAAUCUGAAUGCAUGGACUGCAUUUCAUUCCAAUUUGGAUCAGUGGAGAACCAGGUAUACAUACAAGGAGUAUGAAGUAUCUGAUAUGUGAACAAACACGAAAAGAAUGAGGAAGCUAAGGUUUGCCACAUGAUUAUAACUUUGCUGAGAUGCAUCUACUCUAGAAUUGACCCGACUGUUCAGAUAGUAGGGCAUAAGUGAUAAGUCAGCGAGUAAGCCACAAAAACCAUAUAUGUUACGUCACAUCUGUGUUAAAAUAGCCAUAUAUAAAUAUUAGAAGAAAAAUAUCAUAGGAGCUACACGUCCUUAUCGAUCACCAGGGAUAUUUAUGCAGAAGGUAGCACGUAGGUUCAGAGAAAAUCUGGCGGCGAUCAUUUUCGGUAAAUGGGCGCUACCAGAAAAAAUGAUCAUGCACAAAUAAAGAAACAUAUAUGGUAUGUGCUUAAUCAAUCAAGCAUAUCGACAUUAUUGAGAUGCAAGUGCAUGGCUACUAUACGUUUGAGCCCAGGAAAAAAGACAGGGAAGUAGGACGGAGCUGACCCGCCCGAACAUGCAAAACUAUAGUAGGGCUCUAAUGCCAUCAUAUUCAACAAUGUAAAUUGUGAAUGCUUAUAGAGGCCUCACUAUUUAAUAUGUUUCUUUUUUUCAUAAAUAAAAAUAAAUAAAAACUCGAAUGAACUUUCGGUAAUUACUUUUAGAAAAGUAAUGCUAGGUGAACCAACUUUUAGAGAACCAUCUAAAACCCACCUUAGGUGGCAGCUUAUGUGGCAUAGCUAUGAUCAUUUUUUCUAGCUAGAACACUUCGCUCGUCAUUAUUGAUACAGUGGAACAUAAGGUAUGUAUUGACAAAUUCUGUCCUAGUUUUUCACAUUCUUGGGCAAUCUCACAAAGAUCUACACUGGGAUCUAUAUGUUUUGUUCUGUUUUUUCCAUGCAAGAGCUUUUUUGAAGUGUGAAGCACGUUCAUCCUCAAUCAUCGGGUUCAGACUGGAUAGUAGUGAUGUCCCAUGACUCCCAUCCAGAUUCCUUGCUGGUCGCAUACAAUCAUAUAAUGGACAAGAUGUACCAUUUCAGUGGUUGAUNNNNNNNNNNNNNNNNNNNNNNNNNNNNNNNNNNNNNNNNNNNNNNNNNNNNNNNNNNNNNNNNNNNNNNNNNNNNNNNNNNNNNNNNNNNNNNNNNNNNNNNNNNNNNNNNNNNNNNNNNNNNNNNNNNNNNNNNNNNNNNNNNNNNNNNNNNNNNNNNNNNNNNNNNNNNNNNNNNNNNNNNNNNNNNNNNNNNNNNNNNNNNNNNNNNNNNNNNNNNNNNNNNNNNNNNNNNNNNNNNNNNNNNNNNNNNNNNNNNNNNNNNNNNNNNNNNNNNNNNNNNNNNNNNNNNNNNNNNNNNNNNNNNNNNNNNNNNNNNNNNNNNNNNNNNNNNNNNNNNNNNNNNNNNNNNNNNNNNNNNNNNNNNNNNNNNNNNNNNNNNNNNNNNNNNNNNNNNNNNNNNNNNNNNNNNNNNNNNNNNNNNNNNNNNNNNNNNNNNNNNNNNNNNNNNNNNNNNNNNNNNNNNNNNNNNNNNNNNNNNNNNNCUCUUCUUCUCUCUCUCUCUCUCUCUCUCUCUCUCUCUCUUAAUUAAAUUCUUAAGAAAAAUUAGAUUGACAUGCAUGGUCGACUGAGCUGGUUCAAUUUGUUUUCUUAGAGAGCUGUGAUUUCGACGGUGAAGCCCAUAGUGGACGCAAGCAUAGAGGACCUCUGCAACACUCUCUUCCCAGAGUGUCUGAAAAUAGCAGACUUGGGGUGCUCUUCCGGACCCAAUACCCUUCUGGUGGUAUCAGACAUCAUUGAAAAUAGCCGAAACACGUUUCAAAAGCUCAACCUCCCCCCGCCAUCGCUCCAAGCAUUCUUGAAUGAUCUUCCCUGGAAUGAUUUCAACACGGUGUUCAGGUCACUGCCUGGCUUCUAUAAGAAGCUCCAUGAAGAAAAUGGGAACAAGUCGGGUUCUUGUUUCAUUGCAGCAAUGCCUGGUUCCUUUUAUGGCAGGCUCUUUCCUGACAACUCUCUUCACUUUGUUCAUUCUUCUUAUGCUCUCAUGUGGAUCUCUGAGGUCAAUACUCUUGAUUGUGCUUUGCUACUUGUGGUCUUUUUCUUGUACGUUAGUCUUUUUUUUUUUCGUUUUAAGCAAAAUUCUAGUUCAGUCUUAUCUAUUAUGCUAAUAUAUGCGUCAAUGAUUGACUAAUAGAAAAUCAAUAUGAUCUCUAUGAGCAGGUUCCAAAAGGUCUGGUAACCGAAGGAGGAGAGGGACUGAACAAAGGGAACAUAUACAUAUCCAAGACAAGCUCACCUGCUGUGUUUAAUGAAUACUUUGAGCAAUUCAAAAGGGACUUCACAGUCUUUCUGCGAUCUAGGGCACACGAGCUAGUCCCGGGAGGUAGUAUGGUCCUCACAACCAUGGGCAGCAUAAAGAGCAAUGAUCCCCUCUCCAUUUGGGAAUUCGUCGGAUUGAAACUCCAUGACAUGGUUUUAGAUGUAUGCAUGUGUAUAGAUUCGAACCCCUCUUAAUUUGUUUAUUAGGCUAUGAUAUAUACAUGUUACGGUUACUGAUCAUUUAAAAAAUAUAAAUUUCAGGGUUUGAUUGAGGAGAAAAAGUUGGACAGAUUCAAUUUGCCAUACUAUGCACCCACAACAGAUGAGGUAAAAGAGGUGAUCGAGGCUGAAGGGUCUUUUACUUUGCAAAACCUUGAAGCUUUCAAAAAUGACUGGGAUUCUUACAUAAAACAAGCUCAUAGUGACCUUGACAAGAAAGCAAGGGCUGCAAUACUCUCCACUGACAUAAGGGCAGUGGGAGAGCCUAUUCUGGCUAGCCAAUUUGGAGAAGAAGCAGUGGACGAAUUGUUCCGUAAGUUCGAAGAAAAUGUUCUUGAUCAUAUGGAAAGGGAGAAGUGUCAGUUCAUUAACCUAGUUAUAUCAUUGAUCAAGAAGCGUUAAGUAUGAAUAUGUAUGCUGCUGUAUUGUAUUUGGUCUCGUGGCUUCCAUACUUUCUUUCUUUAAUAGGUUUUUCAACGGUGCAAAGUAUAUAUAUGUAGUGCCAAGUAUUUAAUCUAUUUUUCUUAACUACUUGUAUAUGCUUAUUUUCAUUAAUUUCAAAUUUAUGACCAAUUAAUUUUUUUUUAUUUUUUAAAACAUGACAUUGAUCAGUGUAACCAUACAUAAUAAUUUAAUUCUGUGGGCUGACAAAAAAAACUACUUCCUAAAUGAUUCAACGUUUUCUACCAAUGAAACACUUCCAAUGUAGUUCAAUUCACAUCUGUGAGUAUCAAAAACAUAGAUGAAUCAAACCCCACUGGCGUCUUUCUUCGACAACAGAAACAAGAACAAUUUCAAACAUAUGAACACCCCUCAUUAAAGCAAAAUAAGACCUAAAAAUAAAAUAAAAGAUACCAGGUUAUAAAGAUUAAAAACAAACAUUAACACCCUAACAAUGGGUGAAGCCCAAGCCCAAUAAAAGGGCCAGCCCACCCAAUUGCUAAGGGCAUCCAAAUGACCAUUCAACUUCUAGAAGCAGCGAACCGCCGCUUCAGUCUUGCUGCCGGGAAGACCACCACGGUCAAAGCCGCCACUCCAGACCAGCAUACCACCAAGCCACGGAACCUCGCCUCCUACAUCGAGACCACCUGCCUCGCCAUCGCACUCAGAGAUCCUCCACCACCAAUCAACCGAGAUCUUUGGGCACCUAGCCCGUCCUCCAUUGUUCCACCGCUUGCCUCCAAAGGGGUCAACCCCACCUAGAUCGAUCGCUGCAACCCCAGAAACGCUGCCUAGCAUCCCAUAACGCUGUCCAUGAGUCCAGACUAGAGCCAAACCACCACCACGAGGCAAGAACCCCCAAGGUUUAGCCAUCAAGGUCGGACCCGAAUCCAGAGCCAAACUCAGACCUGCCAAGAACAAAAGAAGAAUCCAACAACCAAGAGAAGAAGCCUCCAUAGAGCUUGAAUUUGUGAUUGGAGAAAGUUCAAAUUUGCCGAAUCAGAAGCCAAUUCCAAUGCGAGGGGGAGAGAGGAAGAAAAGAUUGAGAAAAAUUCAGAGGGUUUCAGAUCGGAUAGGCGGUCCUAAAAAACCUAGCGACGACGCUAGGCCGAAGGAGAAGGAGGGAAAAUAUUGUGUUUUGUAAUGUAUCUGUUUUUUUUAUGAUUUAUCACUAAUUAAUGGAUGUGUUGUACUAAUAUGUCAAUCUAUAUAUUUUUUGUAAGUCAAGAGAAGGAUAAAUAACUUAAGAAGCUUGUACCAUGCAUCUUUGGAUGUUGUCUUCAAAUACUUCAACAAGUCAUUAUGUAUAGAAAGAUUUAUUAUCAGAACAUCUUUAGUAAUGUUAGCCUUUUUAUUUGUAGUCAAAUUUUAGCUAAAAUAGUUAAAAAGUUAUGGAGUAAAUACUUGUGACACCCUGUAGUUUACACCUAAAAUCAGUUUUGUCCCUCACUUUUUUUUUAAACUGGUAUAUCAUUAACAGUCUAAAUAACCAUUCACUCUUAUCUCUUCUAGCAUAGUAAUAGGGGGCUUAGACCUUGCUCUCAAAACCCAACCAUUGAAGCUCUCACAAGCAUUGUUAAUGAGCAUGUCACAGUCAUAACCAGCUAGGAAAAGGGCAAAUCAGUCGAGAAUUCAAAGUAUAGGGGUAUACCAGUUUAAAAAAAAAGUGAGGGACAAAACUGAUUUUAGGUGUAAACUACAGGGUGUCACAAGCAUUUACUCUAAAAGUUAUUUUUGCUAUCCACUUAAUUAGAAGUACAUCUACACGAAUACUUUCUAUUUCAACUUAAGUUUGAUUUACAUUAUUGAUUAAAUAAAGAAAAAUUAAUUUAAAUGUGUCUUAAUAUUACAUAAAACGACUUAAAAGAAAUAUUUUGAAUUAACAUAAAUUAUAGAGAACUUUAUCUCGCUAGCUAUAACAUCUCCAACAACUCUUGCAUAAUUUCUCUACUAGCCUUCCAGCACGCACAUACGCGCGUGCGGAAAGACCGCGCUCACGCGUGUGUAUAAUCAUUUUUUAAUUGACAUUUGUAGGCAAAGUAUUUUUUGAUAUGAAGAUCAUUUUAUUGAAUCUUAUCUUCAAUGUUUACGUGAGCACAAAGAAAGCCUAUUUGGUCACACGUCUCUCUUUAAUUUUACUGAUUCACAUGUUUUUCAUCCCAACAUAAUAAAGGGUAUUUGGAUGCAUAUCUUUCUUCCAAACAAAUUACAUAGUAAUCUUCCAGACUAUGAAUAUUUACAAAAUCUUAAACAAAUAUGAGAAGGCAUUGUUGAAACUGAAAUUGCAAGACUUGAAGAGUGAUCAUCCUUUGGCUUCUGUAACACUUCAGUUGCAUUUAGAUCUUGCAUAUUACAUCAACUUAAAUUGAUAAUUAGUGCCACACUGUCCAGGUCUGCUAUUUCAUCCAAUAAACCCUUUUCAGUAUCUUCCAUCACCAGCAAACUUUCAAAGAGAGUACUGAUUAAACCUGUAAAGUCAAUUAAAAAAAUUUCUGAAUUCUUGUCAUUUGGGUGUACAGAUGAAAAUAAGAGGGUCGAUACAGAGUCUGAAAAUAAACCAUUUUCAGUACCUGCCUGUGUUUAUUUUUUCAAAUUUGAAAUUGUCAAAAAAUUUCGAAGCAUAAAAAGAUAGGGAAACCGCAUACAAAACUGAUGGCCUUGACUUGAAGUUCAUGUGGUAUAAAUACGUGCAUGUAAUUUUAAGAUAUGAAUCAAAAAGCUCGACAUAAUCAGCCAGUGCAGUUUCAAACCACAUAAAACUAUCAUAUAUAAGCAUGACAUGAAAGUAAAGGCUAUAAUAAACUACCAAAGCAUGCCUGAAAAAGAUGAACUCAAAAUUCCUUUUUGUUGUUCUUAAUAAAAUAAAGAAUUAAAUUCAGUUUACCCCCAUGUGAUUUGGGGGUGACUUCAUGUUAGUCCCUACACUUUUAUUUACAUCAGUUUACCCCUUCAACUCUUCAAUUUCUGUCUGCCGUGCCCAAAUUCUCAUAUUCUGUUUGAAUUGACCGUUAAUUAUCAGCAGUCAAGGUCCGAUUUGGACAUAUAAGGUCCAAUUUGCCUAAAUUUUAGAUACUGGCCUCACAGUUAAGGUUAAAAUUAUCAGCAGUUAACGUCCGAUUUGGACAGAAUAUAGGACAUUUGGUCACGCUUGAUGAAAAUUCAAAAGUUUGAGGGGUAAACUGAUGAAAUUGAAAGUAGAGGGAUUAACAUGAAGUUACUCCCAAACUUCAUGGGGGUAAACUGAAUUUAAUUCUAAAAUAAAAUACCAAAGAAGAUGGUAAUCUAUACCUUCAAAGUUGUUGAAGACUUACACUAUUGUCUAUGAACACUCAAAUGGUCGAGCUAAGUUGCUGAUGAAACUGAGAAUUAAAGUCUUUCUUGAUAUGCUUUCAGUUCUACUCCAUGAAAUAGUUUUCUACACUAACCAGAAGUAAAUAUGUUCAAAAGAAGAAUCAUAACAUGCACAACCAGGUAUAGUCGUACAGGUAACAUAUUCACAGAAAGAGAUGGGUCUAAAAAGAGUAAUUAUAUAACCAUUGUACAGAAGUAUGUCAUGAACCCCAAACCAGCAACUAUAAUUUCUAGAACCCAAAGAACCCUACCCUCAGAAGCCUUUAGAAACUAUCAAUGCCCUGCAAUCCAAAAGAUAAUUUACAUGGCCACCAAAUUUCUUCAACACCAUUUAACAUCAGAGUUCAACAGAAUAAUAAAAGAGUUUUCAUCAGCAAGCUUUAAGGAAAAAAGAAGAAGUACAAAAAUAACAACAAUCACAAUAGAACAAAAAAGAUCCUAUAUAUCAAAGUGGUAUGAGAUCUUGGCAGUUCCAUUACCUCAAAAAAGUGGCUGACACUAAUAUCCCCAAUCUUCACCUUUCCAUCGAUCACCUUAUUGAUAAUAAUAUUUACCAUCAUUGUUUGAUUUUUCUCUGCUUGUCCAACCAAACUUAUCAAAAGAGACUUGUAAUACAUCCCCAUUAUCUGCUGAAAACAUAAUAUACGGUAUCAAUUGAGACAUGUAGUACACAUGACGAGUAACGCAAAAGAAAGUUAUAGAGAGAAACAUUCAUUCUAGAAAUAAUUAAGAAUUGCAGCCGAAAGUGGGCAACUUUUGGGGACUACCUGUUGAUCAUCACACAUUGGUUAUCUAAGGCUAGUGAUAUAUAUCAAUAUUUCAAUAUUUGCUUGUAUUGAAAAUUAUUUAUCUGAUUGAUAAAGCACUUAUAGACAUGAGCAACAUCAAGACAACAAAACAACAUAAGUAAAGGAAGUCAUUCAUCUCUUAACUAAAAAUUGUUAGUUAAUCACCCACUACCAACGCACCAGUUAUAUAGUAGACAUCAAUUGUUAGUUCCCUCUUACUAACUUCUCAACUACCGAUUGAUAUCAUAAAAAACGGAUUCUCCUUAGCUUACAAAAUUCCCAUUGAUACAGUUCAUAUGGUUCAGAAAUACGAUGGUAUAUGAGGGUCAGUGAACGAAGUGGCGGAUAUGUCCUAUCCUUUGUUCACUCCUGCAUAUAUGGACUUGAAUUUAUCACUUUAAAGGCUGAUAUAUAGAUGAAGACACAAUUUAGCUGGUACCAAAACAAAUCAGGGAAAACAAUCCAUACAGUGGGAAAUAUUCAUUUUCAAUGUAGAUAAGUUAAUAGAGUGGCACUGAAAACAAUAUGGUCCUAAUCUUUGAAUUAGUUUACAGGAAGCCUCUACAUGACCAAGUAUACCGUUUUAGAGCAUCUAAUCCUACACCAAUCAACGAUGUGAAUGAAAUAACCUGUGCAAAAAUCAGACAGCUCCUCUGCAAGUGUAAUACAUCAAAAUCAAAACACAAUACAUGAAUAGAACGAAGAAAUGCAGAAGCAUACCGGUCUUAACGCGUGAAUAAACAUGUCCGCAUCGAUAUGCUUUUGUUCCACCCGUAUGAGUAGCUUUAAUCAAAGGUAAAUUCCGAUCCCAAAGACAAAUCCCCAAUCAAUGGAACGUAAAAAGAACCCAUAAAUUACUUACCAGAAUCGCCACCGAAAUCGCUGAGCGGCGUAAAAAAGAUUGCUCCCACCUUGCCGAUACGAUUUCAAUUUACUCUUCCUUUUGAAUUUGAUUUUGCUCUGCUCGUCUUCAUUUCUUUCUCUUUCAUUUUGUUCCUUUUUCGUUGCUUCGUCUGUUCCAUUUGUACCCGACGUUGAUGUGGCAGUUUCCAUCUAUAUGGAGAUCGUGGGCUAGCAGUUGAGAGACUGCGUUCUUCUUCUUUUCCCUUCUUUUUUCCCCUUCUUUUCCUUUUCCUUUUUAUCGCGGAAUCCUCUAUUCCUCGGAUUUAUUUGUUUUGCGUUUUGUCAGCAAGAUUACUAUAGUGUCCUUCUUUCAUUGUUUACAUAUAACUGAAGAAUAAUAAAACUUGGGUUUUUUUCAGAACUUUAAAAAUUUAACCAUUACCAAAUCUCUUCUGGUUUUAUUAAUAGAGAUUAUAGAAGAAGAAACCACAAAAUCUCUAUUAAAAAAAUGGCUCAACUCCAACAUCUCAUUUAUUUUACUCUACAAAAUUAAAUGUUUUUCUAUAAUUUAAUAAGAUCCAGUUCAAGGGACAUCUUAUUUGACUUAAAUUUUUAUUCCUUAGAUUUAAAAUGAUCUAAUGGUUGAUAUUAAUUGAGAGUAUGAUUUGGCAAGUGACAUGGAAAUACUCUUAUUUACCAAUCAAUAAAAUAUUAUAUUUAGGUAAAUGAAAUUCAUUUUCUGAAGACAAUCAAAGAAAAAAUUUACAUGAUUGAAAAGCAUAAAAACACCCAUAUAUGUUCUUCAACGAGACUGUAGAAAAAGAAAUCUAAGUUCAUAGAAACGUAUGACCUCUCCCCUCAUCAUAUCAAAAUAUCAUGCCACAAAAACCCCAAAUCUGUGGUUACAUUAACCUUAUUCAUCAUGAAUCAUAGUAUGUGAUACCAACUUGCAUAUUCUGAAAGUAAAGAAUUAGGUCUGUUGAAGCCCCAAAUCUCAUUGCAGCAGCAUUAAAUUGAUCAACUGAUUGCCAUUAGUUAAAAGUAUUCAGUCAAGAAGAUUGAUGUGGUUGUUUAAAAGAAAGAUUAGAUGGGUUGUUUAAAUUAUAUAAGAGUGCGGCUAUAAAAAACCCUAAGAGCGCAGCAAUUCACCUCCAUCUCAUCAUCUUGGCCGACGGCGCCUGAGGCGGGCUCCGACCUUGCCUCCGAGGUGACUGCUAGACGGGACUCAAGCUUCUUUUGCUUCCAUCGGUCUUGGGUGAUUGUUGGGUAGCAUUUGCCCAAGAUUGUCAUCGGAUCUGAUUUGGCUGGGAUGGGCAUGAAGGGGGAGUGCGUGUUCUCGAGGCCGGCGAUCUGUUUGUUGAUUUGGAUUCUCGCCAGACAAGGUUGUGGUUGCUCCGGCGGCGCAGAUGAGGGAUGGUAGAAUCUGGAUUGCAAUGGCUGUUCUCCGCGAAGGCUUGUUCUGUGGCGGCGCUACAUGAGGUGCUUGGAGUUGUUUACUGUUGAGGACAGACCAGCUUUGAGUACCAUUGUCACAUCCCGACUCUUAAAUUUUUACCUUAUUUACUAGCUUGAUACUAAUUAGAGUUUUACCGUCUUCGUCGUUGAGUUUAUAGUUUCAAAGGUUCCUAGAUGUGUUUUGAGAGACGAUUAUUUUGGAGAAAUUAUUCGUAUGAGAAAUAUUUGAUGACGGUAAAAAAGAUAAAUUUUAGCUAGUAAAAAUAUAAUUUUUAUUAGGGUAUUAUUUAUGUGGUGUUAUUGUGGAGUUGGGUUUUUAUUUGGUGUGGGUAGGAACCGGUUGGGGAAAAAGCCCAACACAUUUUCUCCCUUCUCUCUCUCUUCCCUCCCGACUCUCUCCCCGAGCUCUCUCCCUGCCGGAUCUUCAACGCGACCGUCCGCCGCCGUUCGGCCGCCACAGACCGCCGCACCGGUCCUAAUCGGUCGGCCCUUGUUCCCUCUUCCUUCCUAGACUGGUGGCAGCCUCCCUAGUGCCGCCGUGAGAAAGAAACCACGCCCGAAAGGUCCAACUGCCCAUAGUUCUCCGUCGCCGGAACUCCCUCCUCCGGUCGCCAUAGCCAGAGUUGCUUGGCUCAAGAGGAAGCCCUCCUCCCGUGCUUCAAUCCCUCGAAAGGUUUUGGUGUGACUCGUGCUAGGUAAGGAGAAAUCAUUGAUUAAAACUCUAGGGCUCAAUUCACUAUUUUAAGUCGAUUACCCUAUCUAUGCUUGGAAUUGGUAUUUGUGCUAGUUAAGAAAGUUGUAGAGUGGGUUGAGAGGAAGUUGCUGUUAAAAUUUGGUAGGCAUUGGAGGUUGCCGGAGUCGGCCGCCGGCCACUGUUAAAGGGAUUUUCAUGGUUUUAAAUGUGUUUUAUUAAGGGGAGACUAAUGAUGUGAAGUUUGGAAUUUUUGGAGGAUUUUUGGAUAGAUUUGAGAUUUUUCUAAGUUUAGUAUUUUGGCGGUUAAUUAAGGUAGAGUCCAGCCGUUGGAUUAAAGUUGUUUAAUCUGUAGGGGGUUAUUGUUAAGGUUACCAGUUUUGAUGUUGAAGUGUGGACCGUAUCGAAUUGAAAAUAUCAAAGUUAGACAAUGAUGAGCGUGGUUACGGCUCACAUUUAAUUUUGCCUAUUUUGUAUAAUUAUUGGAUUUUGGUUGGGAAUUUAAUUAUAUAUUUGGAACAAGACGUGAGGAGGCUCGAGCAAAAGAGGUCUCAGAUCGACAUCAGGCUUAGGCCUAAUUUGUGAGUGGACUUUUGUUUUAAAUAAUGUGCAUGCGAAUGGUUUAUUGAUGAAUAAUUUCUUUUGUUGGAGAAUAACCGAAAUUGAGAAUUUCGGUGAUUAUAUAUUCAUUUAUGGAUGAUUAUGAGGAUAAUAUGUAUAUAAAUAAAUGCUAGCUAGCUAUACGUGUUUUUCCGCCAUAAUGAGGUAAAAUUUCAUUAUGGUAUGACAUGAGCGUUAGACGCAAUCGUCGUAGCCCUAUAUAAAUAUAAGAAUUUAUAUAGGGAAUAUGCAUGUAUAUAUACACUCGUGCUUUUCCACCAUAAUGAGGUAAAAUUCUAUUAUGGUGUGACGUGAGCGUUAGACGCAUGCGUCGUAGCCUUGUAUGAAUUUCUAUUUUUCUUAUUCCUUCAUAGAAUUUGUACAAGGAAUAUGACAAGUGUAAUAUAUAUAUAUAUAUAUAUAUAUAUAUUAUUUUAGCUUGAGAGGCCUUAUUUUAUUAAGUUUGGAGACUAGCCGGAGCUAGUCAUGUAAUUGUCAAUUGAUGAGUUGAGAGCUUUUGAGCUGUCGCAUGCAGCAUAUUUUCUAUGAAAAUUUAAAUUGAGAAAGCAUAAAUAUUUUUAUUAAAUUUAUUUUUGUCCACUCACUCUAACAUUUUCGAAUGUUUUCCCCUGGACCCUUCGUUUUAAAAAUGCUCAGUCUGCAGAGUUCGGGUUGGCACUAGAUGGAGGCGAGGCAUAGUUACCCACUUUUCCACCACUUUUCACCAGUAGGUUACAUGUUUAACCUACCAGUGUAUUUUCUUGCUUCAUGUAGUUUUUUAGUAGCUCUGAUUACCUUUGGGGAUAUUGUAUAAUAUUUCGGUGGUGUGCUAAGACUUAUGUUACAGUUUAGAAUUUUCUAAGGAUGACGUAUGUUAUAUUAGUUAGAUAUUUAUGUGAUAGAUUAGAAGAUGGUUUUAUUAUUAUGUUGUGGGGAGCAUGUGGCUCCAGGAGUUGAGGUUGGAUGAGUCAAUAUAGGAGUCUUAUUUGAAUUUUUCAAGAUAGGGUUGUCCAUCAUUAAGGGAGGUUAUGCCGAAUUUUUCGGUAAAUUUUCUUUAGAUGUGGACCCUGUAGAAUUUACUUCGGGUUUCAAGAUGAAACUCGGGGUGAGUCCUGAUAACCAUUCUGGUGGUGGUGGUGCCAGGGCGUGUUUGCGGUAUGCAUGGUGGCUGGAUGACUCGCACAGCGGCAGAGGCAGUAGUGGUGGACUGGCCCAAAUCUACCUGAUGGGUCUUGAGGUUUUGGGCCUUCUUGAUCUGCCUUUGGGCAUUUAGAUUAGUUUAUAUUAUAUAGUUUUCUAGUUUUUUUCUAUUUCCUACGAGCUUAUCAUGUAGGACACUAUUGCACGUUUGUUGUGCCUUUAUGUUUUAGGGAAUAUGUUCUAUUUCCUGUGGGUUCACCCUUCAGGAUACUAGACCUAGGGUGUUUUAUGAGUACGAUUACUAAAAGGUAGUCUAUCCUAUAUACUAGGUGAGGUAUGCCUCACAACUACUUGUCUAUCUGUAGAUAAUAGCGGUAGAGUAUGUAAUGGCUAUUCCAGGCCUUCGUUUUACCUAAAUUUAUGAAAGUCAUAACUGACUCUUUAAAAAAAAGAGUGCGGCUAUUGAGAUCUCCAAAUUUGCUCACUUGACCACACUUUAUUAUGAGUUAUUGAAUGAUGGAUAACUCAUCUUACAUAAUGACUAUUAAAGAGAAUAAUAAUACUAAAAUAAGUAAUGAAUUUAUUCAUUUUGGACUUUCCAAUUCAAUAAUAUAUAUUGUAUUCUUUAUAAUUUUUUUAUGUAUUUUAAUUUCUUAAUUUUUUUUUUUUGCAUAUAUAUUAUUACCCAUUUACAUAUUUGAUAAGAGCUAAACUAUGAUUAAUAUUGAUCGUGUGACAUAAAUAUAUCAUCAUACAUGUUAGAAAAAAUAUACAAGCUAGGUGAAGUAAUUUAUAUAGAAAAAAAAAUUCUUUUUUAGAAAAAUCAAAUAAUUAUAGAAAUAAUCUAUCAUGAGUUACAUAAAAUAUAGAGAGAGAAAAAAGAAGAACUUACAUAGAGAAAAUGUCACACCCAGGUUCUUAAGUUAUUUUACGGUUAUUGACUUUGGUAUUAGUAGUCGGUUGUGCAUAAAACAACCUCCCAAGCCCGUAACCAAGCAGACAUUCCACCACAACUGAGGCCGCCCCGAAGUAUCCACCAAUAAGUCUGGUGGGCCGGGCCCGACCUUAGCAGCAGUAUUGGGCUGGGAGUGGAUUCAGAAGGCAUAAGGGAGCUGGAUGUAAAACAAUAGCAAAGACAGUUGUCCCACAUCGGUUUUCAGGUGAAGAGAAUCCACUCUGGGCCAUAAAUAUGGCCCAGCCACCAGCUUGUCAGGUACAAUAACUACCCCCUAGUAAUUACAUUCAACUAAGUUGAGACUGACUUAAUCUUCGUAGAAGGAAAGACCGGAAGCCCCCGGUCACCCUUGUUAUUGCAGGUCAGUGGGAGGAUAGCCGACCAUCCACCAGGCACGUCAUCAGCUUCUGUGAACCCAUCCGAGAUUGUACAAAAAUAUUUGGCGUUGUCUAUGGGAAUUAUUACGAAAAGUCACGUUGCUCUGCCUUCGAGAGGCAGUUUAUUCAAGUCCAUGAGAACAAUAGGUCCAUCGGGAGGUGCACAAGCCCAACAAAGAGUUAGCUAGUCAUCAAGUUGGCAUGCUCCUCGGUAGGCCCAAGACUGUCUCCUGGAUUAGCAAGUUGUUCAGCCAAGUCCAAACUGCCAUCGGGCCCAAGUUUAUCUACAGGUCCAGUUAGCUAGACAGCAGGUCUAGGAUUUUCGUGUUCCACCGUUUAUUGAUGGUUUCUCUCCCAGUGACUCCGGCUGCAUCCUAUUUGUCCGAUCUCACCUGUAGCUCCGCUCGGCCCAUCCCGCCCGGGUUGUCAUCUCGCCCACCAGAGGUCUCUGUCGGCAUCCCGGACCUUUGUCCACUCAGUCCGAGGAGCGGCUCUCCGGGUUCCCGAUUGACAGCGUCCGGGUCUUCAUCAAGGAGCGGGUGUGCAGCUGGCUGUACCUCUCCAGGGUCACCUCCACUCGGUGCAGGCCGGGAUUAGCUAUCUCGGGCCAAGCUCAUCCGGUGCCGGCGAGGGGUGAUGCGAUGGGAACCAUCUAGUAGCGCCCGGGAUCCACCGGCAGCGUCGGUCAGUCGCUUGGCCGGGAGGGGCACCGCUCGAGCAACUUGGUCAAAGCUCGUCAGGUUUCAUCUGCAAAUCACCAUGGCAAAUAGGUUCAGCUCCAUCAGUUCACCGGGACACCAGCGCAGGAUAACCUUGCAGGAUCUGAGAAGAGGGAGAGAGAAGAGGGAGUUGGUCUGAUCUUGGUGUUGAUUUGGACACCCAACAUCUACUUUGGGCACCCGCACUGAUAUGGGGAGAGCCUGGUAUAAACAGCAAGAAAGAUGAAUUCAAUAGCAUGGACGUCUGGUUGAAAGUGAAAGAUAAGAGUCCGAGUGGAGAAGCCAUCAGAGGGGGAUUGAGGUUCAAAAGUGGUCUUGUAUCUGCAGAGACCGGGACACGAAUAGAAAAAAAAAAACACUAUGGACACCCAAAGGGACACCCAGAGCUAUUUAAUUCCUUGGUCUUUAGCGGGAUGCACAAGCAGCAGUGCGAACAGCCAAUAAUUACUCAUCGGAUCCCGGAGGCCUUCAACAAAAAGUUGGUGGGGUGAAAGAAAAAAAAGGGAACCUAUAGCAACAAGAUACUACCCUCUCGGACCCUAACUAAGUGUUCACAGUUCACACUUCCGGGUCUACUAGGUGCACCCAUUCAGCAGCUAUUUUCAUAGAUAAGUCCCUAUCUCGUUGGUUUGUGAAAGUUCAAAAUAUUGAUGCCACGAUUUCGUCCUACUUGCAAGUCAACCUGUAUGUAUACGAGUAUGCAUGCUGGUCAGUGGGUUUUGACAUUAGACCUAGAGGCAUAAGUCAUCAAAAUCCUGAGUAAUAUUAAGCGGGAUAGGCAUUAGACCGAGAGGCAUAAGUCAUUAACAUCUCGAGAAAUAUCAAGCGGGACAGGUAUUCGACCGAGAGAUUGGCAUUCGACCGAGAGGCAUUCGACCGAGAAAUUAUGUAAGUUGCUAAUCGAUCAUUUGUUUAUUGUGAAGGUACAACAAUCUUCGCCCGGCCGAGUAAGUUUUGAAGCCGGGUGUUGGGAGGGGCAUUUUUUAUCUUAUCGGCGGACUUAAAGAUUACGAUGUAUAUCAAGAAAAGCAAGACCCGGAACAAGCAAGACUCGGAACACGCAAGACCUGUUCAACACACCUCUUGAGUACGGACUUGGGGGGACUGGGGCCAGGUGCCCGUUGAUAAAUGACUAGUAGACCUGUAAAUGGACCGGAUCCGUAAUAGAAAUUUUGGAUCCGGAUCCGACCCGUUACCCGCCGGAUCAUUGAUAACUCGAUCCAAAUCCGGAUCCGGCGGGUUAACGGAUACCCGACCCGUUAAUCGGAUCCGUUUAUAAAUUAUAAUAAUAAAUAUUUUUAAAUUUAAAUAAUAAUUUCAUAAUUUUAUGAUAAAUUUUCAUAAAACACUAAUAAAAUAUUAUAGCAAAAUAAAGGUUUACAUCAAAAGUUGAAUUACAUGGCCAAAAUAAUCCUUAACGAUAAACUAAUUUAAUCAAAAUACUAGACCUCCAAUGUUUAUGAAGCUAGGAGCACAAAAAGAACAUAAGCAUCAAUAACCUUCAACUUCAUCAAAUCAAACUUUAGACGCUAUUUAGAUAUGAGUCAAAACCUGUAUAAACAAAAGAAAACAGUUAAUUAGUUUGUUUUCAUGGCAACUAUUAUAAUGAUUGAUGAAGCUAACCACCCAAUCAUACAAGACAACUAAAUACAAGACUAUAUAUGUGAUUUCAACGAAGACAAAGGUUGCUGUUAGGUAUAAACAAGAGUAAGACAAUUAGCUAGAAAGUAACACAAUAAUUAAAUAAAUAUACUUACAUAUCUCUGCAGCACUGGACGACAGGACAUGAGUUCAUUUUGGCACCUCUUCUUCUUCAGAUUGUGAGACAGAUCCUUCACACAAAGAAACCUAAAAGAAAAAUUGGAACCUCAUAUAUAUAAUGAAAACAUCAGCAAUAAUGUUAAAUGCAUAUAAAUACCACAGAAACUUACUUUUCCGUUUUCGAGAGGGAAGCCAAUCUUUUGUAGUCACCAAAGCCUCUACAGUUUCUGGAAGCAUAGAAGCAUGAGAUUCAUCAAUCACUCUUCCUCCAACACUAAAUGCUGCCUCAGAAGCUACUGUAGUAGCUGGAACUGCUAAUAUGUCACGAGCCAUUCUUGCUAAAGUAGGACAUUUUGCACCAUUAAUUUUCCACCAGUUCAAAACAUUAAAGGGUUCAGCUCUUGGAAACAAAGGCUCCUCCAGAUAUUGCUCCAACUCUGAUUUUUUCUUAGCAACAAUAUGAGAAGACCCUUCCCUCACAAAUGCAUCAAAUCCACUCAAUUCAUCAUCUCUAGAAGCCACUGUUUUGUCAUUACAAGAACCACUGAAUUCCAAAUUUGAUUCCAUCUCAGAUUGAGAUGAAUCAUCUUCAUACUCAGUGAAAAGAUCAAACAUAGCAGUGCGAACUCUUUCAAUAUACUCAUAAGCUUCCGAACCAUGAAGCUUUUCAAAAUAAUAUUCAAUCAGCUGCAUUUUAAAUCUAGGAUCAAAAACAACACCCACUGCUAGAACCAAGCUGCAUUCAUCCCAAUAUUUGUCAAACUUCUCUUUCAUGGGGACAGCCAUCAAUCGCAAAAACUCAUGCUCACUCUUUUCCCACUUAGACAAAUGCAUUUUAAUCUUACAUAUAUCAGGAAAGAACACAUUUGAGGUAGGAAAACUAGAACCAGAAAAAUGAUUCGUUGCAGCAUAAAAAUGUUCCAAGCAAUCAGAGAUAACUUCGGCUGUUUUCCACUCCUCGUCAGUGGGAUGAUGUUUAUAAUUUCGAUCUGUUUGUGACAAGCGCCAAAACACCUCUUUCAUUUCAAGAGCACUUUUAAUCAUCAAAAAGGUUGAAUUCCACCUGGUAGGGCAAUCCAUUUUAACCUUUUUCUUAUCCUUCAACUUGAGUUGGGUUUUUGCUUGAUUAAAUUUCUGUGUUGCAUAACCGGACCUUUUCAAGUAUUUUACAGAUUCUUUGACCUUAAAAAUGAAGCCUCCAAUCACUUGUAACGCAUCUUGAACAAUCAAAUUAAGAAUAUGAGCAGAACAAUGAACAUGAAAUAAUUUACCUUCCAAUAAGAUCAAAGACUUGUCACAAAGCCAACUCUUUAAGCUUCUCACCAUCGCAUCAUUAACAGAUGCAUUAUCCACCACCAUGGAUAAUAAUUUCUUUUCAAGAUUCCAAUCCAAAAUCAGGUCAGUGAUAUAUCGAAAAAGAGUGUCUGCAUCAUGAGGAUAUUCAAUACAUCUGUAAGCAAGUAUUUUCUUUUUCAAUUCCCAAUCCUCACCAAUAAAAUGAGAUGUCAGACAUAUGUAUCAAAUAUCUUGAUGAUCAGAAGUCCAAAUAUCAGUAGUAAGACUGACCCUACCAGGAUAUCGUUCAAAAAAUUGCACAUUUGUUCUUUCUCUUUUUGUGAACUUUGAGAAUAUCUAACUUGACUGUAUUUCUACACACAAGCUUGAAACUUGGUUGAAGAUGGUUUAAAAAAAUCUCAAAAUAUUCAUGCUCAGCCAUACUAAAUGAAUAGUUAUGCUUAAUGACCAUCUUAGCAAAAUCCAUACGACUUCUCUCUUGUUCAAACUUAAAUUUUUCAAUUGAUGUAUCACCUGAUUCAUUAGUUUCAGCAACUACCAUUAGUUGAUCAAUGCCNNNNNNNNNNNNNNNNNNNNNNNNNNNNNNNNNNNNNNNNNNNNNNNNNNNNNNNNNNNNNNNNNNNNNNNNNNNNNNNNNNNNNNNNNNNNNNNNNNNNAUCGGGGAAUAUGGUCUCGGUCAGAUCCUUAGCGAUGAAGGUCUGUUCUAUGUCCGAGACCCAACGAUGGUACUCAGUACCAUGGGCGUCGAGGACGUCAAAUUCAAUGCCUCUGUCCAUCUGCAUACAAGAGAGAACAAGUCGUAUUAGUUUUCUGUUGGAGACCCUGAAAAAGGUACUCAAAUACGAUGAUUUUGGUUUGUCUCUCUAGGGUUGAUCAAACACAACCCUAAAUGUCCGGAGUCGAUCAAACACGACUCGGAAAAAAACUUGUGUGAAGGUGAUCAAACAAAUGUCCGGAGUCGAUCAAACACGACUCGGAAAAAAACUUGUGUGAAGGUGAUCAAACACACCUUCAAAAUAGCAAUAACCAAAGUUGAUCAAACACAACUUUGGACCCGGGGAGGAUAACCGGGAUUUUUAAACCUGCAAAGACACCGUCCCAAGCAUAGAAUGGAGUAGAAGAAGAGGAGAAAACACUUUAUCUCCCCCGAGGUUAUUGAACUUUGAAGAGUUUUAGGGUUGUAAAGUAAACAUACCGUAAAACUUGGAUGCUUGAUCGGACGAGAAGGAAGCAGUGGAGCGGACGGCCGGGGAGAGGCAAUCCUGGGCAACGGCGGCGGCGGCAGCAGCGGCGGCGGCCGAGGAAGGGCCGAGGGUUUUCGGCUUUUGGUUUUAGGGUUUGGGAAAAACUAUUAGCUCAAGGGUUUGAGCAAAGGGCUGAUAACGUGAUGAAGUGAAAGUAAAUUGAGAAUAGAGAAUCGUGAAAGAUGUGUAUCUCAUUCAUUGAUAGGAGCCCUUUAUAUAGGGAAUUACACAUUACCAGUAUGGUAAGGAUAUGAAUACAUAGAUCUAGUCUAACUACAUAUCCUAUUGGCAUAAGGCAAAGGCACACAUAAAGAAUAUCUAGAAAGAUAUGGAAUAUCCUAGAACAGUUUACUAUUUUUUCUUGAUCGAGUAGAUGUAGGAACAAGAAUUAUAUAUAUAUAACACAUAAACUUUCUCAGGCUAGGUAAGGACCUCCUUAACUUAACUAUGGAUGUAGAUUUUCUUAAUAGACUCAUUAUUCGAUCAUACUUUUGCAUCUUAACCAUACAUUCAGUUUUUACAAAUAUAUGAGCAUAUCAUUUCUGUAAAUUUUUAGAUAAUUUGGUGAUUAUUAAGGUAUCGAAAAUGUAUUAAAUCAAUUAAUGAUCUAAAUCUAUUCAACCUAAGCCGUUCGUGUUGAACUGAAUUAUGUUAAACCUGAACCAUUUAUGUUUACAAAAAAAGAAACACAGUUAUAAGUGCCUUAACGAUUACUAAUUGGCUGAAAAUUUACAUAGAUUAUCUACUUAUAUAUAUAUAUGUCUAAUACUGAACGGUUAAGAUGAGAUAAUAUGAUCAAAAAGUUUGUUUAUUAAAAGUAUCCCAUCAUAAGAAUAAAUAAAAUCUUUACUUGAAAAUGAUCGUGUGUACAUACUAUUAUUAAAAGAAAGUAUAGGGCUUUAUCGUAAUUAAGCUUUUGAAGGGUUUGAUUUGUGUUUGCAGUGGAAGCCCUACGAGAAAUUGGUAAAGAACUAGGAAAAAAUGACUGGAACUUCAGCGUAGACCCGUGCCUGAAUGACACAACCCACACAAGCUGGGCUACUCCAAAGCCUGCUGAUAGGCCUCAAUUCAACAACACUCUCAUCUGCAACUGCUCCUUCCCUGAUGACUCAUGCCAUGUUAUCAACAUGUACGUAGGUGCAAUUUUGAGGCAUAUUGAUAUGUGUGUUUCCCAUUAUUCACAUAUAUGUAAUAUAUCUUGCUGAGUUGUUUUUUUAUGCACAGCAAGUUUAUGAGUAAGUAUUUAGGUAUAUCUGUUUUUUCUUUCUCCUCUUUCCUUUCCAGUUUAGGAGAACCCCUUUGUUUAUGAGUAUGAUAUGCAAAUGCAAGGCAUCAUGACUCCAAUUUCAUGCAUAGUCUGAAUUUUAUCAUCAGUUAGCUCUGACAUUUUUCUAAUGCAGUUUUCUUAAAGGGCAAGAUCUUGCUGGGGUUCUUCCACCGUCUGUUGCAAAGUUACCUUACCUUACACAAAUGUAAGGAAUUAAGGAUUUUGCAAUGUAACACGUUGCUAAUAAACAUUUGAUUUUUUCUCAAAUGCUAAUGUUAUAUAUCACUAAUAACUUUUCUGUUCUCUACAGCGAUUUCUCAAGGAACUUCAUCAGUGGCAAUAUACCGAGUGAAUGGGCUUCUACAAAGUUGGAAUUAAUGUAACUGCACUUCUUAACUUCAUAUACCGAGUAACUGCACUUCUUAAGAGUGGCCUAUAUAUAGUGAUUGAACUAAUUAAGACAUUGAGUAAACUGCAGGUACCUCGGUGUGAACAACUUAUCUGGACCAAUCCCUGCCUUCCUAGGAAACAUUACCACUCUAAGAAACUUGUAUAUGCUCUUCCAUUAUCUAUGUAAAUUACUUUUUUGUGUGUCUCAACGUACUCCAUCUUGAUUUUCAUUCGGUUUGGCCUGCUUUGAUGAAAAGGACAAUAUUAUUUCAGGAGUCUGGAGACAAACAUGUUUUCUGGAAUUGUUCCUCCAGAGAUUGGGAAGUUGGUUAACUUGCAGAUUCUGUAAGCUUCAUCCAUUAUCAUUUUUUGUUUUUACGUUUAUUUAUUGAUUUUAAAAAUAUCGAAUAGCUUGUCAAAGUGAGUGACUGAUAAGUUAGCACUGGUAUAUAUCGAUCUGCAGCGUCAUUAGUGCAAACAAUCUCACAGGAGUCUUACCAGUGGAUCUCACAAACCUGACCAAAUUAAUAGAACUGUAGGUGACACUCACAUAUUGACUUUCAAUUUUCCUUAAGAAAUGAUAAUCUUUCAUUUAAUGAAUUUUCCCUUUAUACAGGAGGAUUAGCAGUAACAACUUCAGAGGAAGAAUUCCCGAUUUUUUCCGAAGUUGGAGUCAACUUAAUGAACUGUAGGUACUUUUUUCUAUUAUAAUAUCAUUCAGAUAUCACAGAAUUGGUGUAAUCUCUAUCCAUGUUGAAUUCUUGACAGAGAGAUCCAAGCUAGUGGUCUACAAGGCCCCAUUCCGUCUAGCAUUUCUGUCUUGAGUAAUUUAACAGAACUGUGAGUUCCACACCCAGCUCUUCGUUGCAGUAACAGUAUAAUUAACACUGAAAACCACAUUCUACAUCAUAUUUAACACUACAGCUUCAUAUCAAAGGGAUUGUUUUAGCCUAACAGUUAUUUAUGAUGCAAUGGAUGCAGAAGGAUCAGCGACUAAACGGAGGGGGUUCAGAUUCAGACUGACUAAUAUGAAAAGCAUGAAAAGAUUGUGAGUCUAAAACAUGUUGUAAUUCCGUCUGUAGUUUUAGACUAUCUAGUCCAUGUUUAUCUGCAACUAUGCUAAUAUUGAGUCAUACUGCAGAAUGCUAAGGAGCUGUAAUUUAUCUGGACCUAUUCCUGAUUUAAAAGCAAUGCCAGUAUUGAAUAUAUUGUAAUUUACUCCUCUUCUUAAUCUUUAUAUUCUACUACUCAUUCAAGUACAUAAGACACAUUCAGUAUGCAUUCUGGAUAUCAAUUUGAUAAACGGUUCAUCUUCUCAGUUAAGCUUCCAAACAGUAAGCUUUCGGUUCUUAUAACAUCCAUUAUCUUACAGAGAUCUCAGCUUCAACAGAUUGGAAGGAAGCUUUCCUGACGUUGAAGCUAUGAAUGUGCAGUACUUGUAAGAAAUGUGGAUUUCAUAUAUGUCAUGACUAUGAUGCAGGGGGGCUCCCCCUCACUUCAUAUGCUAUCUUCAUAUAUACAUUUAUACAUAAGCAUAAAUUUAUCCCAUUUAACCAUCCUUCUGUAGUUAAGUAAUAAUUACUUCAACUGAAUGUGACUGUGAUUUCUUUCGGGAAAGGUACCUGACAAGCAACUUGCUCAAUGGCUCUAUUCCAGAAUAUAUUAAGACCAAAGAUCCCCGCUAGUAUGUCUUCUAUCCGACAUCAAUUUCAUUUUCAGUCUCUGUUUUUUACAUUGUUUAUUUGAGGUGUCUAUCAGACGAUUCUAUUAGCAGUAUUAACAAUAUUGUUAACUCAAUAGGAUAUUAGAGCUUCUUUUCCUUUUCAUAUGAAUUAUUUGUAGCAUUUGAAUCAUCAAUGACUAGGAGUCUAUGAUUCUCUGUCGACAUUAACUAACUAUAUACCCUUUAAGCAUUUAAAUGAACGGUUAUCAAUAUUCUAACAUGUCUUUUACAGUGGAUUUAUACUCGCUUACAUGUUUGUCAUCUUUGUGUGCAGCCAGAUAGAUGUUUCUUACAAUAAUUUUUCCAAGGACUCUGAGCCAUCUGCAUGUAGCGAAUACCUGUAAGAACUGAUAUUCUGUGUAGUUGACAUACCAAGCACAAACUACAGUCAUCAUUCACCUCUAAUUGUUCUUUUUCAAUUGAUUGGACAUGUAUCAGGAACGUCUUCAAAAGCUCUUCUGCAGCAAGCAACUCGUAUGUUUCAUACUAUCAUUGAAGAUCCAUGCAGCCAUUUGUUUUUUCUUUUUUGACUUUAUUGGACUUACUACAUAAGCUGAUUACUGUACUUCAUCAUAUUCUAGAGUAUCUGGAGUGUGCCUGGAGAAAUAUCCAUGUAAAGAAGGUAACGUUAUAUAUCUUAAAAUCCAAAAUUUGAUUGAAUAGACAGGAAUCAAAUGAUGGUUAGGCUGUUAGUUGUUUAAUUUUGUAAAGGAUUUGUACAAGGAACUCAGUUGUGAACUUAAGUAUCCGUAUGACCUAAUAUAUUUAUAUCAUAUCCACUCAAAUAUUUUCUCUAAUCUGACUUUUCAAUUAUCUGCUGUUACUGAACAGUUCAGUACUCAUUACAUAUAAAUUGUGGUGGAGGAGUGACCACUAUUGGAGGAGUCAAUUAUGAAGAUGAUACAGAUCUUGGAGGUGGAGCAAAAUUUGUUCCAGUGAGAUCCAACUGGGGAACCAGUAGCACUGGAGUAUUCUGGGAUACUAAUGUCACCGCUGGAGACUACAUAGCCAAAAAUGUAUCAACACUCGGAAUGAAUAACUCUCAGUUGUACAUGAAUGCACGCCUCAGUCCUCUUUCUCUCACGUAUUAUGCAAACUGCUUAGCACAAGGAAACUAUACUGUGAGCCUUCAGUUUGCGGAGAUAAUAAUCCGAGGAAAUAAAUCUUAUCAAAGUGUUGGAAGACGGAUAUUUGAUGUCUAUAUUCAGGUAGUGAUUUUUACCACUAGUGAGUUUUAGUGCCACACACUUCAUCUUAUGGAUGACAUUUGUUACAGGAGAAACUCGUAUUAAAGGAUUUUGACAUCGUAAAGGAAGCAGAAGGUGUAGAUAAAGAAGUCAUUAAAGAGACAAAGGCAGUUCAGGUUAAGAAUAAAACUCUAGAGAUUCGGUUUCAUUGGUCUGGAAAAGGGACAACAGCUUCCCCAAGGAGAGGAAUAUAUGGUCCCCUUAUAUCAGCCAUUUCUAUAGAAUCUGGUAAUCUUCUGACUUUGUACAAGCUCUUUUAAUCCUGUUUUAAUUUUAGAACUUUAUUAUAGGCUUAAUUUACAUCCAUUUGUUUUGUAUUUGUCCAGAACCGAGUAGGAACCAAAGGACAAGUUUAUGUUUUCCGUCCAAUUAUUGCAUCUGUUUCAAGUUUUGUAGCUAUAUUUGAUGUUUGCGAUAUUCAAACAGAUAGCACCCUUGUUAAGGGAAAUACCAUUCUCAGUUGUUAUUCCCUAUCUAUGGUUGUAUAAUAUAAACUGAAGCUUAUCUAUUUCUUUCUGAUGAUUUGUUUUAUUUUUUUCUUCACUUUCUGUAGAGUUCAAGCAUUCCAAAAGAAAUAUGCAUGUUGUGGUUGGAGUUUCAGUUGGAGCUUCAAUUUUGUGCCUUGUCUUCUUAAUUUUUGGCAUUCUUUGGUGGAGAGGUUGUCUGGUGGAUAGCCAGACAUCAAGGGAAAAAGGUGCUGUAACUCCACUAUGACAAUUUCAAGUAUCACAUGGCCAUUAUACUUCCAAAUUUCCUAUGUGAACUAGGAAACACACAGUCAGAUACUAAGUCAAAAGAAUGAUUUCUCAAGACAUUACUCAUAUCGUAACAUUGUUUGUUGGACAGUUCUGAGAGGAAUGGAUCUGCAGACUGGCUUUUUCACCUUGAGGCAAAUUAAAGCUGCCACUAAUAACUUUGAUCCUUCAAACAAAAUUGGAGAGGGUGGUUUUGGGCCCGUCUACAAGGUAUAAUAUGACUGCAAUGUUAUGUUAUCUUUUUUGUUCUAGUAAUUGUCUUUUCGAGUCUUCAAAUAACUUUCUAUGGACUAGUUUAGUUUUAUCAGGAUUGAAAACUGAUUUACAGUUACUAUACUUAAUGCAGGGUAUACUAUUGGAUGGUACUAUAAUUGCAGUUAAGCAACUAUCCUCAAAAUCGAAGCAGGGAAAUCGUGAAUUUGUGAACGAAAUAGGCAUGAUCUCUUGUUUGCGGCAUCCAAAUCUGGUUAGAUUGUAUGGAUGUUGUAUUGAAGCUAACCAGUUAUUGUUGGUAUAUGAGUACUUGGAAAACAACAGCCUUGCUCGCGCUUUGUACGGUAAGCUUAUCAAGUCUAGGAACAAAUCUUUAAAAUCAUGCAUUCAGAUGUUCUUAAGCGACCCAAUUAUUAAGUAUGUAUGUCAAUUGCAGGUCCAGAGGAUGAUUCCCUAAACUUGGACUGGCCUACAAGGCACAAAAUAUGCCUAGACAUAGCAAAAGGUCUGGCUUACUUGCAUGAGGAAUCGGCAGUGAAGGUUGUACAUAGAGACAUCAAAACUACGAAUGUGCUACUGGACCAAGACCUCAAUGCUAAGAUCUCAGAUUUUGGUUUGGCCAGGCUUGACGAAGAGGAGAAGACUCACAUUAGCACCAAGGUUGCUGGAACUAUGUAAGUUUCAUUUCUAUUUGGGCAAUUUCAUUUUGGGUUUAUAUUUUAUGAGCAAACUCUUUGUAUUAGAGUGACUAAUCAAUCGGUGAAAACAACAUUUAAUUGUUGUGCAGAGGAUACAUGGCACCGGAAUAUGCGCUAUGGGGUUGCUUGACCUACAAGGCAGAUGUCUACAGUUUUGGAGUUGUUGCAUUAGAAACUGUUUCAGGAAAGAACAACAUGAAAUAUCGACCGCAUGAGAACAUUCAAUGUCUUAUGGAUUGGGUAAGAUAAAUAAUCUUCAUUCAAAAAUUCUGUCACUACAUAUAUAUGUAACUAGUUUGUGAUCAUCCACUCAUUUUCUCUGCUUAUCUUUAGGCCCAUGUUUUGCAUAAAAAAGGGAACUUACUGGAGCUGGUGGAUCCGAGGUUGGGAUCCGAUUUCAAUAAGAAAGAGGCGCUUAGAACUAUCAAAGUAGCUCUACUAUGCGCCAAUCCAACAGCUGCACUCAGGCCUAUCAUGUCUGCAGUAGUGAGUAUGCUUGAAGGGCGAACCCCAGUGGAUGAAGUGGCUUUGGAUCCAAGUAUCCAUGGUGAUGAAAUGACAAGGUUAAGAGCCUUUGAAAACCUGUCUGAGCAGAAUGCACAAGGGAUCAGCUCAACAAGUGAAAGUCACAGCCUCGUGCAUUCAUCAAAUGCACCAUGGACUGGUUCUUCUGAUACUACUACGUCUUCAGAUCUCUAUAAAGUUUAUUCAAGUUAAAAUUCAAGAUUAACAAACCACCAUGUCACACUAUCGUGUUUUUGUAUUAGAACAUUUCUUCUCCAACGUAGCACAUCGUGAAGGACUCCGUGUUGUUUCCGCGGACAAAGUUGUAUGUCUCCAUAGUGGACUAGAAUACUGGACCUUUUACAGAUGGAGCCAAGGCCGACCAUGCCUCCAUUCCUGUAACAGUCAACUUCAUGUUCUCUGUUUCUUUCAAAAAGUACUAAUUUUAUGAAUGGUUAAGAUUGCACAGUUUAUAUAUUUACACAUUUGUGCAUAAAAGAAUUUUCAUAGAUUAAUUAGAUAUUUAGAGUAGUCCAAGAGCUUAUGUUCUAAAGUUCAAAUUUGUGCUCAUAGGAUCUGAGUUACAGUUUUUGCUUCCCUUUAUACUCCUACUGUCACAUCCCGACCCUUAAAUUUUUCCUUAUUUACUAGCUUGGUGUUAAUAAGAAUUUUACCGUCUCCGUCAAUGAAUUUAUAGUUUAUUUGGUCCCUAGAGGGGUUUUGAGGGACAUUAGCUUCGGAGGGAUUAUUCGUAAGAGAAAAUAUGACGACGGUAAAAAUGGUAAUUUUAGCUAGUAAAAGGUAAUUUUUAUUGGGGUAUUUUAUUUUGUGGUGUUAUUUUUGUUGUUGGGUUUAAUUGGGGGUAGUGGACCGGUUUGGGGCAAAAAGCCCAAACCAUUUCUCUCUCUCCCUCUCGAGCCCUCUCCCCGCCGGACUUCCGGCCGCCUGUCCGGCCACCUGAGACCGUCGCUCCGGUCCCGAUCGGUUAGCCUCCGACCCAGCUCCCAUCCUAGACCGGUGGCAACCCCCCUAGCGCCACCGUGAGAGAGAAACGACGCCCGGAACCUCCGGUUGUCCGAAACUUCCCGUCGCGGGAUCUCGCUCCUCCGGCCACCAUAGCCGGAGCCACUUGGCUCGUUUGGAAGCCCUCCUCCCGUGUAGCAAUCCCUCCAAAGGUCUCACCCUCUCUUGAGUUAGGUAAGGAGAAUCGGUGAGUUGAAGUUCUAGGGCUCAAAUCACAGUUUUUUUUUUUUUUCGAUUGACCUAGUUAGGCUUGGAAUUGGUGUUUGUGGUAGUUAGGAAAGUUGUAGAGGGAGUUGAGAGGAAGCUGCUGUUAAAAUUUGGUCGGUAUUAGAGGUCGCCGGAGUCGGCCUCCGGCCGCCGCUGUGUAGGGGAUUUUCGUGGUUUUAGAUUGGUUUUAUUAAGGGGAGUUAGUGAUUUGACUUUUAGAAUUUUUGGAGGAGUUUUGUAUAGGUUUGAGAAUUUUUAAAGUUUGGUAAUUUUGAUGGAUUAAUGAGGUAGAAUCCGGUCGUUGGAUUUAAGUCAUAUAAUUUGUAGAAGGUUGAAUUAAGGUUGCCGGUAUGUUCGGUGAAGUUUGGGCCAUAUUGAGUUAAGAAUGGCGAAGUUGGGCAAUGAUAAGUGUGUAGAAGGCUCACGUUUAAUUUUGCCUAUUUUGUAUAAAUAUUAGAUUUUUAGUUGGAAAAUUAAUAUUAUAUUUGGAACAGGACGUGAGGAGGCUCGAGCAGACGAGGCUCCAGAUCGACAUCAGGCUUAGGCCUAUUUAGUGAGUGGACUUUUGUUUUAAAUAUUAUGCAUGCUAUGGUUCAUGAUUGAACAUUUUCUUUUGUUUGAGCCUUUCACGUCAUUUUAUUUUGACGAAUUUAUUUCUCUUGAAGAGUUACCGAAAAUAAGUAUUUAUUUAUGAGGAGAGUAUGUAUAUAAAUGCUAGCUAGCCAUAUGUGUCUGUCCACCUUAAUGGCGUAGUAUAUAACGGUAUUAUGGUGUGACAUGAGCGUUAGACACGAGCGUAGUAGCCCUAUAUGAGUAUCUAAUUCAUAUAGGAGGUAUGGGCACAUAUUUAUACACUCGUCCGUCCACCUUAAUGGCGUAGUGUAGCACCGCAUUAAGGCGUGACGUGAGCGUUAGACGCAAACGUAGUAGCCUUGUAUGAAUUUCUAUUUUCUUAUAUUUUUUUUCAAGAAUUCAUACAAAGAGUAUGGACAUGUGUAAAUACAUACAGAUAUAUAUAUAUAUAUAUAUAUAUAUAUAUAUAGUGGAAUGUAUAUUUUUGGUUUUGAGAGGCUCAAUAUUUAAGAGUUGAUAGUUUUAUCGCUUGAGGCAUGCGUUCAUUUUCUUUGGAAAAUAAAUUGGGAAAGCAUAAAUAUGUUUAUUUAUUUAUUUUUGUCCACUCACUCUAACAUUUUUCGAAUGUUUUCCCCUAGGCCAUUCGUUUUUAAAAAUAUCCAAUCUGUAGAGUUCGGGUUGGCACUAGAUCGAGGCGAGGCAUAGUUACCCACAUCUCUUCCACCUUUCAUCUGUAGGUUACAUGUUAACUUACUCUCAUAUUUUCUUGCUUCCGCUAGUGUUUAGUAGCUCUGAUUACCUUGGGAUAUUGUUUAAUAUUUCGGUUGUGUGUGAAGGCUUGUUUACAUUUAGAAUAUUCAAAAGAUGAUGUAUGUUAUCUUUAUUUGGAUAUUUUUGGAUGAAUUGGAAGUUGGAUGUUUCGUCUAGGAGGGUAAAUUCUUGAUUUAUUCCGGGUUAGGGUUGUUCAUUUUCAAGGGAGGUUUACCGAGUUCUUCAGUAAACUUUCCUUGGAGGUGGACCCUACAAGACUUACUUCGGGUUUCAGGGUGAAAUUCGGGGUGGGUCUUGACAGUUGGUAUCAGAGUCUUAGGUUUCAUUUCCUGCGUCCUUAUAACUAUCAUAUUUGCCUAAGUAGCACGUAGCGUCUAUAGAGUGAUGAUCUGACCGUGGCGGAUUCAUUGGCAGUUUAUGCUUUGGAUGCUAUUUGUUAUUGGGUAUGUAUGAUAGUUGUGUUAGUCUUGUUUAUUGUAACAUCUCGGAAAUUUGGUUUUCUAUUUUUGAAAAGAAAAUUAUUUUUCAGCUAUUUAAAUUUGAAUUUCUGUUAUUCUUUAAAUUCUUUGUGGCUUUCGAAAAUUAUUCAAAUUUUUAGUUUGUCGAUUUUUGUCUUUCGAGCCGAUAAGAUUAACUUAGACGUCAUUACGAGUUGAGAUUUUGCGAAGCAUCGUUUGGACAUUGAAGCUAUUUUUAAUGAAUUUUGGGAGUUGGUAUUAUCCAAAAUUUUAUUAAAAAUAGAAGUAUAGGUGGCAUGAUCUGGACCAUUGGAUUUAUCAAACCGCCAGAUCUUGGGCGUUGAUCGCAUGAUACAUAUAAAGGAUGGAUUAGUUUGAGUUGCGUCAGAACUCAGCCCAGACCGACCUCGGUCUCGAGCUGCUCUGCAGCGGUGGAGCUCGGAGGAGUCGUCCGUCGUCCGGCUGUCUUCCGUCGCAAAACGACUAUCCACAGGUCUGUCUCGACGUCCCCGACCUCCUUGUGAUUCCAGCUUGAAGAGUGGAGCUCCGGUGAGAGAGAAAAUGAGGAGAGAAGGUGAUUGUGUUUCCGAUCGGGUUUCCGAUUCCGGCGGCGGCGGCGGCGUGCGUGAAUGGUAUUGGAAGCUUCCUCUCGUCCUCAUGGUCAUGUCCAUGCCCUUGAUUUUCAGAUAAGAAGUCUGGAGUGAGAGAUUCGAAGUGGAGAAGGAGAGGCUGGGUUCACCGGUGAGUCUCCGAUUCCGGCAGCGUCGAGGUGUCUCACUGGUAUGGAUAGCUUCAUCUCGAUCUCAGGAACCUUUCCAUGUUCCUGGUUUUCGAAGUGAAGCUCGGAGGAGGGAGAAUCGAAGAGGAGAAGUUCUGGGAUUUUCCGUUAAGGGUCGAUGUUUUCCGGCCACCGGCGAAGGCAAGCGAGGUAUGAAACUUGAUCUACUCGUCGAGAUCUACCUGUUUAUAUGCAUGGAAUCGAGUUUUGUUGAGUUUUGGGAGAAGUUGGAAUUUAGGCAGGACUCGACUGCCGUGUGUGGUGGCGGAUUGGUGGUGCUGGCCUAAGCUCGUCCUUGAUUCAUUUUCUGUUCCUAAAUAUGGAUUGAUGAUUAGUAUGUUGUCUGGAAUUGUUAUGGAAUUGUAGAAUUGGAGGUAGAGAGCUGAGUUGCAGGUUGUUCGGGUUUACUGUGUUUGGUGUUGAUAGCAGUUGUGAUGGUAAUUGUUGUGAGUUUUGAAGAUGAAGUGGGAAUACUGAUUAUGAAGGAGUAAUUUGAUAUGCUUGUUAUUGAGAUUGAACGAGUUGAUGGAUUUGGGCUCAGUUCGGUUUAUUGCAAGUGUUGGUGUAUUUGGAGUUUGAUUAGUUGUGUUGAUUUUGGCAGAAGCUUUAGAACAGAUUAGUUGUUUGCUUGAUUUCAAGAAAAUGGAAAAGUAGGCAAUUGGAUAGCUUGCUGGGUUGCUCUGACGUUUGAGAGCAGGGUGAUUGAUAAGAUUCAGCCAUGUGUGUGUGUGUAUAUAUAUAUAUAUAUAUAUAUAUUCAGUUAGAACAAGGUUUCUUUAAUCUAUUUUGGUUUGUGAGAGCAGUGUAGAUGCUUUGGUUUUGAUCAAGGGGUGUAUUAAACUUAAAGAGGAAUGAGCUCACGACAAUUGACUCAAAGAUCAUGGAGAAGGAACUCAUUUGGGUGUCCUUAGUAAUUCCAAGGACUUGAUCGUUUUGGAUUUCAAGACAAGACAAGAGCAUGGCAAAUUAAGAUGAAUAUUCGAAAUUAGUUAAAGACUAGAAGGAUGGAAUGGAAGAAUUGGAUAUUUGUUUUUGGAUAAUUGAUUUGGGUGUCCAGAGUAAUUCUGGAAAGUUUAGAUCGGUGUUUGGAGCAUAGUUGGGAUACACCGACAACGUUGAUUGCAAAUAUAGAUUUUAAAGGUGGGGAUAGUGCGAAAUGAGUACAUAUGGCAUAUGGUUCGGAAUUUAUCAAAAAUGCGAGAGGAAUUGGAAAUAAGGAUUUGAGUGUCCUUAUCAAUUUCAAGGACUUGAUUUCAUUGACUUGGAGUGAUUCGCCGACUUUCUCGAAAAAAAGAUUUAAUACGAGGAUCGUACGCAAGUAGCUGGAUUUCAGAAGCAGAAGGAUGAGGAUUUCAGAAUGCAUGUCGCAGAGUUACUAAUUUUAGUUAACGUCAGAGCUAGCGCUUGGAUUCUAGGUAGGGUCUUUCUCGAGGAACCUUUCUUAAAUUGAUAAUUAGAUUAUAAUUGAAAUCGGUGCAUUGUGUGACAUUGAUUGAUUAACUCUUGGUUGUUAUUGUUUUCGAUAAAAGUAUGUGUAAUCGGUGAUUUAUAUAAUUAAUGUUAUCGUUUUCCAUAAAAGCAUGUGUUGGAUGAUAUAUUAUGAAUAUUGAUAUUUGUUGCAUUCAUAAUGCAUUGUGAGGAAUUGUGAGAUUAAUGAGAUUGGUGAUAGUGAAGAAGAUGAGAAUGAGAUCGCGAAAAGAUACAUUUUGUGUAGUUGAGUUUCCUCAUGGGUUGUCCAUGAAUCCAUGUCAGCCCAUAAGUGCACGAACCGGGGAAUGCAGAACCCUUCAAUGGCGGACAUCGAUAAAGCGAUCUAAUCGGGUUUCGGGUUUAGAGACCAUGAGUAUAACAAGAUGACUAACAAAAGAGGUAUUGGAGUUUAGAUAUUACUGAUUUGUUAGGUCGUAUAUUGGAGACAUCUAUACGGUAUGGGACGUGUAGGCUCAUAUGUCUUUGAUGUAUGGACUAAUAAGCCAGUGGUCGAGUGGAGGAAGUUCAUUUACACAUAUGCAUUGAAUUAUUAUUAUUUAUAUUUAAAGUAUUGUUUGUUACUUGAUAACUUGGUUUUGCGACUUAGAUAAGAAUAACUUAAGAGGUUUGGCCCUACUGAGCUUAAGCUCACCCCUGUAGAAUUUUGUUCAGGUUCCCAGGCGGACACGUCUUUCGAGAAGUCUAUUUGUGACGUUUAGCUGACUUGUACAAGAGUAGAAGAGUUACGGAAUAUUAGAAGUCAGAUAGAUCUCAAGACCUAUUUUGCCUUUGUAAUUGUUUUGUUAUUGCAAACGUUUUAUUUUCGACAAUUUUGAGAAAAGUAUUUGAAAUUGUUUUAUUUUCAUUUAUUUUUCCCGCUCACGCGUCGGGUUCAGCGUCAGGUGCUUAGAAACCACCGACACCGGGUUUGGGGUGUGACAUUUAUAGACUACUAAAUAUCUUUUUUCUCAGGUACUAUGCCUCCUAGACGCCAACGCUAACCCCGUGAGACUGGUUCGACCAACGCUAAUGAGGGCAAUGAGGUCAGAGAGUUAGUGGAUUCUUUAGGAAAUAUGCUGAGGGGAGUUUUGGAUUGGACUUAGAACCCUCGGACUGUGAAGAAGAAGGAGUUCAUGAGGCUGGUGCAAGGGAGUUCAAGGGUGCCAAGGGACCCCUUGAUGCUUAUACUUGGGUAGACAAGAUGGAAAAGGUUUUUGUGAGCAUAGAUUUGUCGGAAGAUAAGAAAGUGAAGAUGGCAGUGACUUUUCUGGAUGAUUCAGUCGGACUUUUUGCACAUUCAGAAGGGGGAUGAUGAGGGUCUCAUAGAGUUCGAGCAGAGAUUCACUUCCUUGAGUUAUCAUGUGUCCUACCUGGUUCCGGAUGAGAGGACAAGGAUUGCAAUGUUCAUUGGGGCACUUAGUGGUGUGUAUGCUGACAAGAUGACAGGGGUAGUGUACCUGACUUUUAUGGAUGCAAUUAGUGCAGCUAUGGCCAUUGAGACCAUGAGGACACAUGGUGCUCGGCCCCGUGAUUUCAGUGGUCCCAGUCAGGGUCCAUCCAAGAAGGCUGCUUCAUCAUCCGCUUCAGGGUCUUUAGCUGGUAGUGGCAGUAGUGGUGGAUCGAGUUCUAGUUCUCGGUUCAGGGUUAGAGGACGUCACAGGAGACCUUCUCGGAGUCAUUUGGGUAGGCAGCCGUCUGGUCAAUUUGGUUCUGGUGGCAGCUUCUAUGGUGGAUCAUCUGGUGGUCAGACUUUUUCUUUUGGUCAGCAGCAGUUUUCUGGAUGCUUUGAGUGUGGUGGUCAGGACCACUUCACUUCAGGAGAGAUUGUCCAUUGUUGGCUCAGAGGACCACCUCCACCCUUACUCAGCCAGUUGGGCAGUCUUUAGCUAGGGGCUCCAGUAGUGGUGCCCAGGGCAGUGCAUUGGCCAGUGGUAGCUCUCGGCAGGGUAGUGGUCAGCGUGGACGUCCCAUGACUUGCGCUAGACUGCAUGCUAUAACCCAGCAGGAGGGUCAUACUUCUCCAGAUGUUAUCAUUGGUACGUUAUUAAUUUUUGGUCAGCCAACUUUUACUUUAAUUGAUCCCGGAGCCACGCAUUCAUUUAUGUCUAGUAGAUUUGCCCUCCAUGCCAAUGUGCCAUCAUCGUCUCUUCCAGGCGAGUGGCAUGUGUCUCUGCCCUCCGGUGAGGUGAUGAGAAUAAAUUGGGUGUUUAGUGGUUGUGAAGUGUUAGUUGAGGGAAUAAAUUUCAAGGCCGAUUUGAUUCCUUUAGAUAUAGUGGAGUUUGAUGUGAUCUUCAGAAUGGCUCUAGCGGAAUUGAAAGAGUUAAAGAUUCAAUUGCAGGAGUUAGUAGACAAGGGUUUUAUUCGGCCUAGCAUGUCUCCAUGGGAUGCUCUGGUAUUGUUUGUUAAGAAGAAAGAUGACACCAUGAGACUAUGCAUUGAUUAUAGGAAGCUAAAUCAAGUAACGGUGAAAAAUAAAUAUUCGUUGCCUCGCAUUGAUGAUUUAUUUGAUUAGUUGAGGGGUGCUUCUAUUUUCUCCAAGAUUGACUUGAGAUCAGGUUAUCAUCAGUUGCGGAUCACGCUAUGGUCAUUAUGAGUUUGUAGUGAUGCCUUUUGGACUUAAUAAUGCACCCGCUGCUUUCAUGGAUCUCAUGAAUAGGGUGUUUAGCCCAUAUCUUGACCGCUUCGUGAUCGUAUUCAUAAAUGACAUUUUGGUAUACUCAAGAAGUGAGAAGGAGCAUGCCAAACAUCUAAGAAUGAUAUUGCAGACUUUGAGAGAUGCUCAGUUGUAAGCUAAAUUCAGCAAGUGUGAAUUUUGGCUAGAUAAAGUGGGGUUCUUGGGUCAUGUGGUUUCGGCAGAAGGUGUUAGUGUGGAUCCCCAAAAAGUGGAAGCAGUGUCAAAUUGGAGAAGACCCACCACGGUGACGGAGAUCCGUAGUUUCUUAGGAUUAGCAGGUUAUUAUCGGCGUUUUGUGUAAGAUUUUUCAAAGAUUGCUGCUCCUCUUACAAGAUUGACCAAGAAGGGAGUUAAGUUCGAAUGGUCAGAUGAGUGUGAGCAAAGUUUUCAAAAAUUGAAGAAUCGUUUGACUAGUGCUCCUGUUUUGGCACUUCCGGAUGAUAGUGGGGAGUAUGUGGUUUAUUGUGAUGCUUCUAGACUCGGUCUAGGUGGGGUAUUGAUGCAGCAUGAGCGAGUUAUUGCCUAUGCUUCUAGGCAAUUGAAGCCGCACGAGGGGAAUUAUCCCACUCAUGAUCUGGAGCUUGCAGCGGUAGUUUUUGCUCUCAAGUUGUGGAGACACUAUCUUUAUGGGGCCAAGUGUCAGAUUUUUACCGAUCACAAGAGUCUUCGGUAUGUGUUCAUUCAAAGAGAGCUAAAUAUGAGGCAGAGAAGGUGGAUGAAGUUGAUCAAUGAUUAUGAUUGCACUAUUGAGUAUCAUCCUGGAAAAGCUAAUGUGGUAGCGGAUGUUCUUAGUCAAAAUCCCUCCAUAUCUUUAUCUCAUAUAAAGAUGGUUCGAGUUCCACUUCUAUGUGAGUUGCGAGCUACAUGGGUAGAUUUAUCGGUGGAUGAAGUUGGUGCUUUGAUAGCUAGUUUCCAUGUGGGCCGGUUUUGGUUGAUAGAGUGCAGGAGACACAAUAUAAUGAUCAUUCCAUAGUUCGGUUAAUAGAAAGAACUUUGGAUGGAACCACAGUUGAUUUUUCAGUUAGAAGAUAUGGAACUUUGUUGUUCAAGAAUAGGCUUUGUGUGCCAAAGAUUAAUGAAGAGUUAAAGAAUGAGAUAAUGGAGGAAGCUCAUAGUUCUACAUAUGCAGCUCAUCCGGGUAGUACAAAGAUUAUCGGACUUUGAAGGAUUAUUAUUGGUGGCCAAACAUGAAGAGAGAAAUUGUAGCUUUUGUGAGUAGGUGUUUGAUCUGUCAGAAAGUGAAGGCUGAAAGGCAGAAACCUUCAGGGUUACUUGCGCCGUUGGCUAUUCCAGUGUGGAAGUAGGACCACAUCACCAUGGAUUUUGUUUUCAGUUUACCUCGUACCCGUGAAGGGUAUGACGGUAUUUGGGUGAUUGUGGAUAGACUCACCAAGUCUGCACAUUUCUUGCCAGUGGGAAAGAAAUAUAAAUUGGAUAAAUUGGCGGAACUUUAUGUGAAUGAAAUUGUGAGGCUUCAUGGUGUACCUGAAUCAAUAAUGUCGAAUCGGGAUCCUAGAUUUGCUUCUAAAUUCUAGGGAGCUCUUCAAACAGCUUUAGGCACCCGAUUACACUUCAGCACUGCUUUCAUCCUCAGACCGAUGGGCAAUCAGAGAGGACUAUUCAGACUUUGGAGGAUAUGUUGAGAGCUUGUGCCUUGCAGUUCAUAGGGAGUUGGGAUAAAAUCUAUCUUUGAUGGAAUUUGCUUAUAAUAAUAGCUAUCAUUCUAGCAUUGGUAUGGCUCCCUUUGAGACACUUUAUGGGAAGCAGUGUCGUACAUCUUUGUGUUGGAAUGAAGUAGGAGAAAGAGAGCUCUGCGGUCCCGAGUUGAUUCAUGAUACGAAUGAGAAUAUUAAAGUGGUCAUAGAUAGACUCAAGGCCGCUCAAAGUAGGCAGAAGAGUUAUGCAGAUGUCCGUAAGAAGGACCUUGAGUUUCAAGUGGGUGAUUGGGUGUUCUUGAAACUAUCUCCUUGGAAAGGGGUGGUACGUUUUGGUAAACGUGGGAAGCUUAGCCCGAGGUAUAUUGGCCCUUAUGAGAUUAUAGAGUGAGUUGACUCACUUGAUUAUCAGUUACUUUUGCCUCCAGAGUUGUCCAGGAUACAUAAUAUGUUUCAUGUAUCCAUGCUUCGCAAGUAUAUUGCCGAUCCUUCUCAUGUGUUACAAGAGCAGCUGAUUAGUUUGACGAAGGAUUUGAUCUAUGAGGAGGAACCGGUUCAGAUUCUUGACCGAAAGGAACAAGUGCUUAGGAACAAGACAAUCCCAUUUGUAAAGGUGCUUUGGAGGAGUCAUCAAGUAGAAGAAGCUACUUGGGAAUCAGAGGAGCAGUUGAGGCAGAAGUAUCCCUAUGUCUUCGAAUGACAGGUAUGUAAAUUUCGAGAACGAAAUUUUUAUAAGGAGGGGAGAAUUGUCACAUCCCGACCCUUAAAUUUUUACCUUAUUUACUAGCUUGGUGUUAAUAAGAAUUUUACCGUCUCCGUCAAUGAAUUUAUAGUUUAUUUGGUCCCUAGAGGGGUUUUGAGGGACGUUAGCUUCGGAGGGAUUAUUCGUAGGAGAAAAUAUGACGACGGUAAAAAUGGUAAUUUUAGCUAGUAAAAGGUAAUUUUUUAUUAGGGUAUUUUAUUUUGUGGUGUUAUUUUUGUGGAUGAACAUAAUUCGAUCGAACUUGAACCGUUCAUGUUUAUAACAGAAAAACGCAGUUUUGAGUGCUUUAAUGAUAACCAAAUUGACUGAAAUUUUGCAGAGAUGAUCUAUACAUCAGUAUCUAAAUACUAGACGGUGGAGAUGUGAAAAUUCGAUUGAAAAGUGAGUGUAAAGUGGAAAUCUGCACCAUAAGAAUAAAUGCUGACGUCCGCAACGGAGAAGCGCUGUAUAUAUAUAUAUAUAUAUAUAUAUAUAUAUAUAUACACACACACAAUUCAUAUCCAGAGUGAAGCUUCACUUUGAAAUUAAAGUGUGAAGUUCUUUAUUUAACUCACUUUUCAGUCAUAUUUCCACAUCUUCACCGUUUAGUUUGUAGAACCUAAUGCAUAGAUCACUCUUGUCAAGUUUCAUCCAAAUUGGUAAUCAUUAAGGUACCGAAUUAGAUUAAAUCAACGAACGGACCAUAAAUCUGUCUAUUCAGAACUGUUUGUGUAAAUAACGAUUAUGAAAACCCAAACGAUCAUCAAAUUCAAUGAAACUUGGCAGAAAUAAUCUAUGCAUUAUGUUCUACAAACUUAACGGUAAAAAUGUGGAAAUAUGACCGAAAAGUGAGUCAAAUAAGGAACUUCAUACUUUAAUUUCAAAGUGAAGCUUCGCUGUGGAUAGAAACUGUAUAUAUAUAUAUAUACAGUCGGGAUCAGCAGAGGACGUCCGCAAACCCGUAAAAGUGCGGACGUCCCUGCUUUUGUAGCGAUCAAGCGCCGACGACCUCCCCUCUCUUGUCGGACGGACACCAGAGCUCGAUCAUGAGCUUCCUCUUGCCGGCGGACUCGUCGAAUAUCAGUUUGCAGCCGAGUUUGAUCGUGAGCUUCCUCUUGUCGGAGGUUGCUGCCCAGACCUUCAACUCCGAUCUCCAAAUCGUCCGGCAAGAGAAUGGAAAUCGUUCGGGAUGGCUCUAGUGUCCGUCCGGCAAGAGAGGGGAGGUCGUCGGCACUUGAUCGUUGCAAAAACAGGGACGUCCGCACUUUUACGGGUUUGCGGACGUCCUCUUCUAAUCUUGUCCGUAUAUAUAUAUAUUUAUAGGAAAGCCACCUUGAUCCAUAAUAUAAUCAUUUAUACGUAUUAUAUAUGAAUCAGGAUCCUGUCCUUAGCUACUCCUCAUACUUGUUUAUCCUUGCCUUUCUUUCUCAGCCGUUAAUGUUAGAUCCUAUGGUUCUUAAUGUUCCACGUCAUCAAAUAACUCAUUCAAUGACUCAGAAUUGGGCUUUUUCAAAGGAAUGUUGUUUAUCUCUGUAUUCCUUCCGUUAAUCCUCAUGCUUCUUCAUCCCUUCACUUCGUUAUCUCUUCCUCUUCUCAGAUCUUUUUGUUCUUAAGUUUUAAUAUUUCACCCUCAGUCAUUGAUUUUCUCUUCAGAUGGGUCUUCGUCCUCCUCACUCAUUGAGAUAAGCCUAUGUAUGUUUCUUGUUAUCCUAGACUCCAAGUUUCGUAUCUAUCCAUAAAACCAAAAAACGAUUAAUUGAAAGAAAAACAAUGGCAGGAUGGCUUAUAGAUUGAUUUCACGAUAAUGGGUUUUAGAUCUACAGCAAAGAAGGGUUAUUGUGAAAACUUUUUGUUUUGUCUUAUAGAUUUACUGGGAAAGACGCCGGGUCUGAUCUUCAAAAUUUGCUGGGGAUCCAUCACAUAAGAGCAAAGUCAGGAAACACACGAAAAUCACUACCCUCUAAGAGGAAGACCAUUUCGACGAAAUAACACCAGCAACCAUUACGAAUCUCACAAAUAAAUAAAAAACUCCAAUACCCAAUCACAAAAACCCUAUUUCACCAUGGACUGUUUGUUUUCUCGUCGUCUCUCAACUUCGUUUCCGCCUCCUAUUCAUGCUCGACACCCUGCUUGUCGGAGACGUCAUGCCGUUUUCGUUUUUGAAAUCCCCGUCAACGGCGGUCCCUGGUCCACAUCGAUCCGUCGCCGGAAUGAACGAGACGACAUCUGAGAAAACCCACCCAACACCGAACCCAAUCCAUCGACCCUUGCUUACGAAGAUGAAGGUUGAAUUCGGUUGUGGGCUCUCCAUGACUCGAAUAUUUUGUGUUUAAGCUUCCAAAGAAUUGCUUUAAUGGCGACGAAGGAUUCGAAUGUGAAUUGCAAUGCUAUAGUGCAGGCUAGGGGUUACUUACGUUGGUCGGAUUAAGUCGACGUAAGAAGAAAAUGAAGAUGGAAGUUAGAGUUGGAGUUGUUGCUGAUAAUAGUGUUCGGAAAACCGCCUUCAUGAACCUCAACUUGGUGCUGAUACUAGUAGUACUCUGCAGCUUUGGAUCAGACGACAUAAUCAAAGUUGAAGCUCUUUCAACUCGUCUUCCUGCUACUGAAGGUACACAUAUAUCCAAUUAGUAAAACAAAAACCCACAGACGUAGGCACCUUAAUGAGUUAAAGGCAGCCUUACCAAUUUUUUUUUUUCUUUCCCUUUUUCAAAAAUAAUUUGAUAGCGAUGACAAGACACUUGUUUGAGUGGUAAUGUUCGAAUGUAAGUCCCUAAUUUGUAGGUUGCUUGCAGAGACGGAACUAGAAUUAAAAUCCUGGAUGGGCUGCAUCUUGGAGUUAGUUUUGAGGAAAGACUCCUACUGAAAUUUAAGGCAAAGUUCUUUGAUUGAUAGCCAUUUUCCUAAAUAACGACCGAGUUGGACAAAAAUUAGAACUGAAAAAUGGGAGGAGAGGCUAAAAUAGGAGGUUGGGAGGUGUUUUCUUUACUUAAUCAUAUAUGAAACACUUAGUUUUUGUUCCACAAAAAUGGGGUAGGCUGCAGCACACACCAGCCACCCCUGGUUCCGUGCCUGGUUGCUUGUGACUCUAGGAGUCUAGGGCUUGAGUCGCCUGAUCACUGCCUAAGGUCUGACAGUUUCAGCUUUCAAGGUGGAAAACCUUGGGCCAUUACUCUCACAUGGUAGUUUCUUAAUUGGCGUUGGACUCGAUUGCUAGUUGCGUUAUUGUGGAUCACAUUUGUUUGAUAUUGUUUUUGGGCCGUCUCUUCCGUCUGAAUACCAAUUUCCAUAAAAGAAAAAUGGCAUGCGUUUAAUUUUAUUUAUAUUUUUAUUUUCAUAUUUUGAAAGGAAAAAGAAAUUAGAUGUUUGGAAGUUACCCUAGAUAGUGGGAUUGAGAAGGUUGGAUUUGUGUUUGCAGUGCAAGCCCUACGAGAAAUUGCUACACAAUUAAGAAAAGAGGACUGGAACUUUAGCGUAGACCCGUGCUUGAAUGACACAACCCACACAAGCUGGACUACCCCAAAAUCUGCUAGCACUCGAUUCAACAACAUACUCACUUGCAACUGCUCCUUCCCUGAUGGCUCAUGCCAUGUUAUCAACAUGUACGUUAAUACGUAGGUGCAAUUUUGAGGCCUAUUGAUGAUAUGUGUGUUUCCCAUUACUUCCUAUAUAAUAUCUUGCUGGGUUUGGAUUGCAUUCUUUGAGUUGGUUUUUUAUGCACAGCAAGUGUAUGAGUAAGUAUUUAGGUAUAUCUGUUUUUUCUUUCUCUUCUUUCCUUUCCAGUUUAGGAGAAUCCCUUUGUUUAUGAGAAUGAUAUUGAUAUGCAAGGCAUCAUACAUUUUCACUCAUAGUUUGAAUUUUAUCAUCAGUUAGCUCUGACAUUUUUCUAAUGCAGUUUUCUUAAAGGGAAAGAUCUUGCUGGUGUACUUCCACCAUCUAUUGCAAAGUUACCUUACCUUACACAAAUGUAAGGAUUUUGCAAUGUAAUACGUUGCUAAUUGACGUUUGAUUUUUCUCGAUUGCUAAUGUUAUUACUAAUAUCUUUUCUGUUCUCUACAACGAUUUCUCAAGGAACUUCAUCAGUGGUAAUAUACCGAGUGAAUGGGCUUCUACAAAGUUGGAAUUAAUAUAAAUGCACUUCUUAAUAACUUCAUAUUCAAGUUUAGCUAAGAGUGGCCUAUAUAUUGAACUAAGACAAUGAGCAAACUGCAGGUCCCUCAGUGUGAACAACUUAUCUGGACCAAUCCCUGCCUUCCUAGGAAACAUUACCACUCUAAGAAUCUUGUAUAUGCUCUUCCAUUAUCUAUGUAAAUUACCUUUUUGUGUUUGUCAGAUCUUGAUUUUCAUUCGGUUUGCCCUGUUUGUAAAAAUAUUCUUUUUGUUGCUCGUUUUACAAAAGACAAUCUUUUCUUUUUCGUGUGUGCUCCUAAUUAUUAUCAAAUUUAUUGCUUACAAACUAGUCGUCUUUUAUUUCAGGGUCCCUGUCAAGAUGGUCUUUACCCGCUUCGUUUGUCUUCUCAGUCCUCCGUUCCCCAAGCAUUAUCUAUCGUCCACUCGUCUCUUUGGCAUAAUCGAUUGGGUCAUCCAUCCUCUUAUGUUCUUACUUGUUUAGGUUUAGUUAUUGGAUCCAAACUCGCUUUCAAUUCUUUUUGCAAUACUUGUGUACUUGCAAAAUCCCAUCAGCUACCUUUUCCAUCUCAUCAUAAUUUUGCUUCUUCACUUUUCGAUAUUAUUCAUAAUGAUGUGUGGCAGACCCCAGUCUUAUCUUUUACUGGCUUCAAAUAUUACGUGCUCUUUACAGAUAAGUACUCUUAGUAUAUACUUGGUUAUAUCCAAUGUGUCGAAAAAAUGAAAUCCUCACCCAUUUUCAAACCUUGGUUGCUAUGAUCCGUAAUAUUUUUCAUAGCUUAGUCAAAUAUCUCCAAAGCGACAACGGAACAUAAUAUGUCAACCGAGCAUUCUCUCACUAUUGUGCGUCCUUGGGUAUCCAACAAUGCUUCUCUUGUCCCCAUACACCACAACAAAAUGGACUUGCCGAAAGAAAACAUCGUCAUAUUGCUACAAUGGCCCGUACCUUGCUUCUUACAUCUGGCGUUCCUCAAAAUCUGUGGAUUGAAGUCGUCACCACCUCUGUCUAUCUAAUCAAUCUCCUUCCGACUCCAACUCUCAAUUGGGAAACACCUCAUACUCGCCUUUAUGGCUCUCCUCCUUCCAAUUCUUCCCUUUGUGUCUUUGGAUGCUCGUGUUUUUCUCAUCUUGGUGAUUAUGUGUCUAACAAAUUGUCUCCUCCUAGUCUUGAAUGUGUUUUUAUUAGUUAUAGUCCUCAUCAUAAAGGUUACAAGUGUCUUCAUCCCUCCACCAAUCGUGUCUACAUUUCGCGUCAUGUAUUAUUUAACGAAAAUCAUUUUCCCUAUAAAGAUUUGCAGGUAAAUUCCAAUGGUGAUUCUCGCUCCUUCAAAUUUAUUCUUUUAUCUAGUCCGAGUCCUGCCGCAUCUCCGCAGGCCUAAUUGCCUAGUCCAUUGCCAUCCUCAUCUGGCAUCACCCAUACUAUUAAUUCACCUCUGCAGGCCCAACUGGCGAGCCCAUUGUCAUUCCCAUCUGACACAGGCCCAACAGGGCCCAAUCUAUCACAUACACCUUCCACAGUAGGGCAAUCAAAUCACAUCGUCCCUCUCUACCAAAUUCACUGGUUCAAUCUUCAUCAACACUCGCCCGCUCUGAUCCCUUGCUCUCCGCCGCCGGCAGCUACCACCCAGCCCACUUCCCCUAUCGACAACGAGCCGACCUCUUCCACAUCUCCGGUUUCUCCCAGACCACGCCUCAUGCAGAUGCACCACCGCCCAAUCCGCCUGUCUGUCCUACAUCACCGCCCGCCACCACCGGCAUUGGCCUUCAGCCCUCAUCUCCACCGGCGCCUCUUCUCCAAUAUAGUUGCCGUCAUUCUCUCCCAGCGGCGACGACGCCUCCCGUCUCUGUUACUCCGGCCAGCGAACCCGCUCUCACCCACUACCGCCACGUCCCACGACGCUGCUCCGCCCCCAAACUCUCCAUCCCAAGUCACCAAUUCUCAAGCAACCACCAACCCUUCAUCUAUUGCAGCUGCUCCUCAAUCACAUCCAAUGGUUACUCGACUCCGUGACGGCAUCGUUCAACCCUGUGUUCGCACUGAUGGCACGGUCCGCUAUCCCAUUCCUCGGGCUCUUCUCACUGUUGUCGAAUCAGCUGAACCCACUUGCUAUUCUCAGGCAUCCCAGAAGCCUGAAUGGCGCGCAGCCAUGACCGAAGAGAUCAAUGCACUGCUGAAGAACAAUACUUGGACUUUGGUGCCCUCUAUUUUACAGUGGGUUGUAAAUGGGUAUUUCGGAUAAAACGGAAGGCAGAUGGCUCAAUAGAACGCUACAAGGCUCGACUGGUCACCAAGGGAUUCCACCAACAGCAAGCUAUCGAUUAUGAUCAAACUUUUAGUCCUGUAAUUAAACCUGCAACAAUUAGAACUGUGAUUACUAUUGUUGUCUCCCUUGGUUGGUCCCUACGUCAAUUAGACGUAAUUAAUGCAUUUCUUCAUGGCAUUCUCAAGGAGGAUGUAUAUAUGCAACAACCCCCUGGUUUCAUCGAUCCUGCUCGCCCAUCUCAUGUCUGCAAGCUUAACAAAGCUCUUUAUGGCUUGAAACAGGCACCUCGUGCCUGGUUCCAUCGGAUGAGGACUGGGGUGGUUGUCUGGAUUCUCGUCGCUCAACAUCUAGCUAUCUUGUGUACCUUGGCUCUAAUCUUAUCUCAUGGUGUUCAAAGAAGCAACCAACAAUUGCUCGUUCUAGUGCGGAGUCCGAAUAUCGCUCUUUAGCCCAUGCAAGUGCUGAAACAACUUGGCUGGGAUACUUAUUGUAUGAACUUGGUGUUCGGAUUCAGUAUCCUGUUUGGCUGCACUGUGACAAUUUGAGUGCCACUUAUAUGGCUUCCAACCCUGUUUUCCACGCACACAGUCACACACCAAACAUAUUGAGCUUGACUACCACUUUGUCCUGGAAAAAGUUGCUUGUGGAAGUCACCGUGUAUGCUUCAUUCCGUCCAAGGAUCAGCCAGCAGAUUUACUCACCAAACCGCUUCAUAAAUCCCGUCAUAUGCUCUUUUUCGGCAAAAUUGUCCGUCCAAGACCGCCAAGUUUGAGGGGGGCUGUUAGAGAACAUGAAUCUGGCCCAUAUAUAAUCUUUUCCAUUACAGAUCUAAUAUUGUUGUGAUUAUGCAUCAGUUUUGAUAUUGCUAAGAUUAUGCAUCAGUUUUGAUAUUGCUAUUCAUAUAGAUUUAUUGUCUUAUGUAAAAGCUGUGUAUAGCUACUCCUAGAUAAUGUAUAGCAUGUAAUUGUAAAGAUUAAUGAGAAUCAAUUUCUACAAUUUUGUUUGCUGCAGUUUUCCGCUUCUAGAAAUGCUUGGUAACUAUUUAAUGAGCUGCUGAUGUUUGUGAAGUGUUAAUAAUUGUUCAUUUCAUGGCUUGCAUAAAUUAAUUAAUAUAUGCCUUUUCAUUUCUGUCUGCAGAGGCUCACAGAAAAUAUGGUGGGAUAUAUGGGAACAAUCCUGGUCAUCAAGGUUGGUCAACAGAUUCACAAGUAGGCUUUUGGCAAAGUUAAUCUUCUGUUGUUGUUGUAUACCAACGCUGUCUUAUAUCUAUUUUUUGUGUAUAGAUUUCUACUGAGACAACAAGUCAGUUUGGGGAACUUGUAGCUGAUCCGGUCACCAUUGAACUGCUGCAUUACACAGAGAAUAAGCCUGAGACUUUUGUAUGUUUGAGUUCGGGUACGGUUUUCACUUGAAUUAGGAAAUUGAAGGAAAACGAACCCAGAAACUUAUCUUAUUCAAUGCUUAACCCUUGCACCACUAUCAUACAUAUUUCUCAGUAGUGGACUGGGUCUUAGAAAAACCCAAUCUUAAUUUGGACAAAGAAGUCACAGAAAGUCAAGGGGGUUUGGUUUCUCCCUCACACACUCAUUAAGCUAAUCAUGAACCCUUUAAACCAAUAUAUACUAUUGAACUCUUUGAUUAUCUAGUUGAUUACUGCAGAAUUAUUGAUUUAAUGUAUAAUAGUUUUGUCUCUUACAUUCGUUCAAAGAUUGGUCCACUGUUCCUGGCUAGACAUCAAAGCAGAAACGGUUUGUGGUUUUUUUUUUUUUUUUUGGUUAAUGAAACGGUUUGUGGUUGAAAGGAUAGAGGUAAACUAUUAAUGUGACCACAUCUUCUGCACAAAUCAAACAUGAUUCUAAUCAAUUCGUGAUCUUCCUAAAUUGAUUGUAGAAUCAUCAGUUUAUAUUUGUAUUCAUUGCUAUGCAUAAUUGUAGCUAUCCCUAGAAUGUCAACAAUAGGAUUUGUAUAUAUGCAGAUUUGUAACCAAUUGAAUAAAUGAAAUUCAGUUUCUACAUAAACGUUGACAUACCAACAGAUCGAUUGACAAACCAAUACAUUGAGACUUUUCAUUCGGUGGUGAUUGUGAAAUAGGAAGACUUUGUGCCAAAGCCAUGUCCAUGAGAAGAACAGUCAAGGUGAGUUAUCACAUGCAUGCAUUCAUUUGGCUUCUUAACCCUUCCCUAACAUUCACUUAGUUUUUUUUUUUUUUUUUUUUUUUUUUUUUUUUUUGGAGUAUCAAUACAGAGAAACAAAACUUGUUUUUAAAAGAGUAACUCACACAGAACUAUCAGCCAUUAGAGUAAUACUCUUUGCUAGUUGGUGCCGAGUACAUAGUGUAUUGUAGAGAUCAUAUGUUAUUAUUUCAUAUCUUUGUAAUUAGGGAUUUAGGCUCAAUGUCCCCUCCCCCCUCUUGUAUUCGACAAUUUCAUUUAUCAAGGCUUGAGGGCAGCCGCACCAAUCCUUCAUUCAAAACAAAAAAAAAACAAAAAAAAA